GAACGUGUUGACUAGAAUGGUCGGAUUGGUUUCUCUUUCCAACAGCUCCAUCUGUUCUUGAAACAACGGGAGGGCGAAAUUGUACGGAUUUGUAUCCACCAUGAAGGAGGGAAGGUCUCGGCUUGUGAAAGAUAAUGGCAAACCUGGUAAUUCUAUUGAACAUGGAAGGACAUUGUUCGUACCAGAACUAGUAUUAUCCCGGAUGAGAUCUUUGUACCCGUUAAAGUAAUAGUAGUAGAUGUCGAAAACCGUGGCUGGCUGAAUCCAAAGCAGCACGCUUGGGAGGUGAAGUUCAUGUGCCAUCCCUGCCGACCAAGGGAGAAGUAAUGAGUAGACUAGGCAAGUGUAAGGGUGACCCUCGUUUGCACUUGCGACUACAAGGUCGGUAAUGGCUUGUACUCCGCGGCGCCGCAGCUCUGACAUGUAGUCGUCGAUGUUGUCGCCGGGCUUAAACCCAUCGUCGUACCCAUCAGAGAAGGGCGCAUAGGUCAAUCCAUCUGGAAUUGAGCCAUUGCCUAUACGGCGAUGGGCUGACAGACUAGUAACGUAGGUGACAUGCGCACCUGUAGUGUUGAUAAGGCGCUUGGCGAAUUGGAGGGAAGGGUUGAUGUGGCCUUGAGCUGGAAAUGUGACGAGUAGAAAGCGGUGUUGCACCAUGGCGGCGUAUGCGAUUGCCGGAGGUGCGCGGUGGAGUGUGGAGUUGUUGGAAGUAGAAUAAGUAGGUAUGUAGUUGAUUGUUGAAAAAUUUGGUACUGUGGGCUUAUAAGCUGAGUGCAGUUGAAAUUCUUGUGGGAGUAUACAUUCAAGGUGGGGAGUGCGGUGAGAGGAUGGCAAGGCUUAAAUGGGGGAUUGGGGGUAGAAAUGUGACGUUUGUGGUGAAAAAUUGAAGACGCUGGAGACAAAUUUGCCAAGAUGAGAAGGAUACUUGUGAUUGUCAAUCCAUGCAUAAUAUAUGGAUAAUGUUAGGGAAACCAUCUAUUUAAAUCAUAUGACGUACUUGUUGAGGAUUGAAUUAUUAUUUAAGUGUUGAUUAACGUGUUUAUUUUCUAUUAGUGACACAUCACUUGAUUUUUAUUUUUUUUUGUUUAUCGUUAGGUAGGAUUUUGAUCAUGAAAAUAAAAGGACAUAGUCAUCUAUUUAGGAUUGUCCAAAGGUUUAUUAAAUUCAAUAUUUGAAACCUGUUCAAGAGGUUUAAUAUUGUCCAAAACCUAGAAGAUAAAUAACUACUGAAUAGGCUUAAAUCUUGAUAGAGUAGAGGGAAAAGAAGAAUGAGGAGGCAAGUACUACGCAAAAUAAAAUCUUCAUCUUGAGAACAAAUAUGUAAAACGAUCGUGCAAAUUUUUAAGAUGCAGACUUCAAGGGCACGUAUUGAUUUGAUAGGUUCAUGACGAAGAAUACAUGAAGGCAUGCACCUGGAUGUGGAGGGUAAUGGACAUUGCUGCGUGUUGGGUAGCUAUAUGAUUGAUUUCGUAGCUAGAGAGAGGAGGAAAAGAAUGUAGAGGUCUCUUGUGGCAGGCAUAAAAGAAGACAACUUAGAAGCAUUGUUCUAAAAAGCGACAUAGGUAGGUACUACGCGGAGGCUGGGUGCCCCGAUUAGGGCUUGUGCGUUUAAAAAAUCAAUGAAGCCUCUAGGCGGUAAUUGGGCGGCUGCUUAGGCGGCCCUGAGCCUACGCAGUCUAAUUUAUUUAUUUAAUUUUUUUUUAAGUUAACGGUUUGAAGAUAAUGUUCUUGUAAAUAACUCUAAAUAUAUAUUUCAUUUUGUGUAUUCAACCAGUUGUAGUCAUUUAUAUGUUUUUAUUGCUAUAAUAAAUUUAAUUAAAAUAAAAAAAAAUAUGUCUAGACCUAGACCUGACAUUCAUGUCGUGUUUUCCGUAUUCGUGUCGUUUUUGUGCCAUACUCGAUAUCUUAACGGGUCGUGUCGUGUAACACCCGUUAAAAUAAACGGGUAAAAUGAUCCGACCCGAAAUCGAUCCGAUAAUAUUAACAGGUAAUAUGACCCGACCUGUUACCCGUUAAGGAAAAUAUAUUUUAAACCAAUAAAUAAUCAAAUGAAAAAACAUAAUACUAAAUAAGUAUAUACAUACCAUAUUGUUACAUCCAAAACAUAAAAACGUAAUUUUCUUUUAAGUAUAUUUUCAAUAACCUAAAGUCUUUAAUAGUUUUUUAAUUAAUGUAGAAGUGUAAAAAAUAUAGAAAAAAAUAUAUAAACGCUCGUAAUAACAAGCUUUACAACUUUCAUGAAGAGCUUAACUUCGAAAUUUGCUACUAUAAUCAUAUAAAUCAUAGAUCAAAAUUUAACCGUUGAUUAUUGUUUACAUUUAUGCUUCAUUGUUCUCAUCAAAUUUUAUUUUUUCAGUUUUUCUUUUUUGAAAACUUGAUCUAUUAGAGGAUGCAGGAAGAUGAACGAUUUGGAUCGUAGAUAUUAUAUUCAGAGUUUUACGUUUAGUGAAAAUAUUGCUUGAUGUUUAUAAAGUUUCUACAAACUAUAUGACAUCAACUCAUAUUUCAGUUGAUUGUAAAUAUCGAAAUGUGAUAUCAAAGAUCUGAACCGUUUAUCUUCUUACAUCCGCCAGAUGAUUAUGUUUCAAAAAAGAAAAUUUUAAAAAUGAAAUUCAAUAAGAAGAAUAAAGCGUAAAUGGCAAUCGACGGUUAAAUAUAAAUUUAAGAUUUAUGAAUUAUAGUGUUGGAUUUCGAAGUUGACCCCUUCAUGAAAGUUGUAAAGUUUGUCACUAUGAGUGAUUGUAUAUUUUUUUUUUUACAUUUUUUUACACUUCUACAAUAAUUAUUAUUAAUUUUAUUAAUUUUGUCCUCAAAUAAAAAACAUUAUUUAUGAAGGUUUGGAGGAUUUUAAAAAUCUAAACGAUAAUGUAAGUGUAACCAUUAUCUACUCGUGGAAGAAUAAUGAUGAAUCAUGAGUGUUUAUAUAUUCUUUCACAUUUUUCAUACUUGUAUGUAUGUCUUCUUAGUUCUUGCCUAUACAAAUACUAUAUUAGUUUAUUUUAAUUUUGGACAACAACAUGUUAAGUAAAAUUUAUCCUAGUAAUGAUAAUAACGAACUCUCAUAAUAAAAAUAAAUAAUGACUAAAACUUUUUUUUUUUAAACUUAUAUAGAAUAAUAAUACAAAACUAUAUAUUUAAUAUAGAAUAUAUUGUAUAUAUUAAUAUGGCUAUUGUAUUUUAUAAUAAAUCUUUUAGUAAUUAAACUUUAAAUUAUCAAAAUAAAUUUUUUCUUAAUGGAUCGAAAUGACCACGUGUUAUCCGCAUGUAUACCCAUUAAGAACCCGUUAUUAAUGGGUUCUUAACGGGUCAUUCGAUAAUGACCCAAUAAGUUAUCGUGUUGACCCGAAACCCGUUAUUUUCGUGUCGUUUUCAUAUCGUGUCAGAAACUGCUGGGUCUAACUAGACCUUGCGACCCCGCCUAGGCCAAUCCCAUUAUUGGUGACUAUUUAGCUCUUCCAGCAUCUACCUGAUAAUAGUAUAAAAUGAAUACUCAGAUAGGGUGCCAUGUGUCAAUGGAUUAGUAGGGUUGGUAUAAGGUAGUUAAAGGUUGUUGAGAUUGUAGUGAUUUAGUGUGCAAGCAAGCUUUGUUAGUUAGAAGAAGAAUAUAUAACAGUUUGUAAGAAUUGUAUUACUCAUUAGAAAAUAUACAAGAAUUCAUUUUCCCUCUAUUUCUCUCUAUUAUCUCUCUCUCUCUCUAAAAACCUUCAUUGUUUUUCUGCAUUACUGCAACAUAAUCUGUUGCUUUACAUGGUAUCAUUCGCCUGUCAAUUUGAUCUUGGAUUUUGUGCUUUUGCCGCUCAAGAUCUUCUCCUUCUUUACUUCUGGAUCUCAUAAUUCUAAAAGUUUCUGAUUUUCUCUCCAUCUUGGUCAUGCACUCUAGGUAUUUGAUCAUAUCUCAUUCAUAAUUCUUCAAAGAAAAGCUACAAUGGUGAUUGCCAAUCAACUACAAUUCGUGCAAUCACCUAUCAUAUCUCUUAUCUCUAUCGUUUCUACGUCUGUUAAUGUCAAGCUCGAUGACUCCAACUAUCUUACUUAGAAUUUUCAGAUCCAGUUGCUACUCGAAAGCCAUGGAAUUAUGGGGUUCUUAGAUGAGUCUAAUCCUUGUCCUGAAAGAUUUGUUUCAUCUGGUUCAGGGGAAUCUAAAGUCGAUUAUAGGGAUUCAUCAUUAAGAAUUGAAACUGAUGCAUACAAGAUUUGGAAAAUGCAUGAUCGUGCCUUGAUGCAACUCAUUACUAUUACAUUAUCUUCAUCAGUUGUGUCUUGUGCUAUUGGAAGCACAAGUGCUCAAGAUUUAUGGAUUCGGCUCAAAGAACAGUUCUCUAUUGUCAAUCGUGCAACUAUAUUCCAAAUGAAAUAUGAGUUGCAAAAUAUCAAGAAAGGCACUGAUUCAAUAUCUCAGUAUUUGCAGAGAAUCAAUGAAGCUUGAGAUUAUUUGGCAGCUGCAGGAGUAUACUUCGAAGAUGAUGAUAUUGCCAUAUUAGCACUUAAUGGCUUACCAGGGGAGUACAAUACUAAAAGAUCUAUCAUUAGAAGUAGAGAAAGUGUUAUCUCUAUCAAAGACUUGAGAUCCCAGUUGCUUGAUGAAGAAGGAAUGGUUGAAAAUACUAUUGUUACUCCAUUUCUCUCUGCAAUGGUUGCCCAGAAUUCUGAGUCCAGUUCCAAGAACUCAUCUAUCUCAUCCUAAGAGUAUUCUGGUAAUCACAAUCAAGGAUUUUCUGGCAAUUCAAGUUAAGGGUAUUCAAGUAAUCAAUCUCAUGGCUUUUCUGGUGGGGGCAAUCAGGCUACCUACUUUGAGAAUAACUAUAACAAGAACAAGGGCAGAGGUAAAUUCAACUAAUUCAACUAUAAUUCUAAUUUUUGCAUACUUCUGUUUUUGGCGUUCUUGGUGCACCUCCAACUUGCCAAAUCCGUGGGAAAUUUGGACAUUUUGCUGAUACAUGUGGAUUUAGAAAUACUAAUAAUGCAUUACUUGAAGGGUGUCAAAUAUAUGGCAAGAAGAACCAUACUGCUCAAUUCUGUUACUUCAUAAAUGCAAAUAUAUCUGGAAAUACUCCUUAGAUGACUGCAAUGCAUGUGGCUUCCUCACAACCUACUCCAAAUUAUAAUGCUUCUUCUUAGCAAUUCUGGCUUACAGACUCAAAAGCAACAAAUCAUUUAACUACUGACUUGCAGAAUCUAUCCUUGUCUACUCUAUUCUCAUCCACAAAGACAAUUCAAACUGCAAAUGGUGCAGGUUUACCAAUAUCACAUAUUGGAUAUUCUCUCAUUCAUACACCUAUGCAACUUUAGAAGCUUAAUUCAGUCCUAUAUGUUCUAAGAAUUACUCAGAAUUUGUUAUCUAUGCAUAGGAUUUGUCUAGAUAAUAAUUGCUGGCUAAUCUUUGAUGCUUUUAAUUUCUAGAUUCAGGACAAACCCACAAAGAGGAUUCUGUACAAGGGGCAAUGCAGUAAUAGGUUAUAUCCAAUACCAAUAUCAAGACAUGUUGCAGUUCAUCAUCAAGCAUUCAAAGCUGCAUUACUUGGAUAACAAGUUAAUUCCAGUUUCUGGCAUAGUAGGCUAGGUCACCUAUCUAAUUCCAUUGCCUUAACUAUACUUAGAAAGUCUAAUAUUUCAGUACCUUUUGAUGUAUCACCUUCACUAUGUCAUUCAUUUUUACAAGGAAAAUUUAGCAAAUUGCCUUUCUCUCCAUAUGUCUCUAAGUCUGUAAUUCCAUUUGAAGUUGUUCAUAGUGAUGUAUUGGGUCUUGCUCCCUGUAAUUCCAUUGAUGGAUAUAGAUACUACGUGACAAUCAUUGAUGAAUGCACUAGAAAUUGUUGGUUAUUCCCUUUGCAUAAUAAAAGUGAAGUGUGUUUUGUAUUCAUUGGUAUAUAUCAGUUCAUUUUCAAUCACUUUGCAGUUUCAAUUAAAACUUUACAAAGUGAUGAAGGGGAAUAUACAAGUAAAGUUUUUCAAUCUUUCUUGUUAGACAAGGGAAUCACUCAUCAAAUAUCAUGUCCUCAUACCCCUAGAACAAAAUGGGUUGGCAAAAAGAAAGCAUAGACACAUUGUUGAAACCUCAAUCCCACUGUUACAAUCUACAUCUUUACCUGCCAUUUUCUGGUCUUUUGCCUGUCAAACUGCAAUAUACCUGGAUGCCAUCAUCAACUUUACACAAUCAAUCACCAUUUGAGGUCUUAUUUUAGUAUGUUCCAGAAGUCCAACAUCUCAGGAUAUUUGGUUGUGCAUGCUUUCCAUUAUUGAAGCCUUAUACCAGUAACAAGUUACAACCAAAAACCAAAAAAUGCAUUUUUCUGGGAUAUGCAUCUAAAUACAAGGGACACAUAUGCUUUGAAAUUAGUUCAAAGAGGGUUUACAUUUCUAGACAUGUCAUAUUUGAUGAGUGUGAUUUUCCAUAUCUUUCACUUUCACAAAAAACAUAUGUACUUCCAACCAGUUCCUUUUCUAAAGCUUCUUUAAAACCAGUGUAUGUCACAAGUGAAUACAAUGUUGUUGUAGCAUUACCAAAUCUAUCUAUGUUUAUUCCUAGCCUUACACCUAGACCUGCUAGUGCCAGUGAUCAAUCUUAAACACCAUCUAAUGUCAGUGGCUUAUUUGAGACACCAUUUGGUAAUGCCACAACAACAAAAGACACAAGACAAGCCAUUACUAGCACUUUACUUCAGUUUAUCUCCUCUACAAUCCCUAUGGCUCCUGAAUUCAACCAGAAAACUUACAAGUUGUUCUGCCUAUACCUCUAUUAAACUUGCAUCCUAUGCAAACAAGGUCAAAGAAUGGAAUUAUAAAGAAGAAAGCUUUUCUAGCCAUGACAUCUAAUAAUGCAUAAGUUGAUUUAUCCCAGAUUGAACCAGUUUCAUAUAAGUCUUCUCUUAAAUCUCCAGUGUGGUUUACGGCUACGGAAGAGGAAGUACAAGCAUUAUACUCUCAGAACAUUUGGUCUUUGGUCACCUUACCAUCAAACAAAAACCUUGUAGGGUGUAAGUGGAUCUUUAAGAUUAAAAGACAUGCAGAUGGAACCAUUUCAAGGUACAAGGCUAGAUUUGUGGAUAAAUGAUUCAAUCAAAAGGCAGGUAUAUAGACUAUGGUGAAACAUUCGAUCUUGUGGUUAAGCUUACUACAGUAAGGCUUGUUCUUGCAUUGGCUACACAUUUUGGUUGGUCUAUGAGACAGCUCGAUGUAAAAAAUGCAUUUCUGCAUGGAAUCUUACAAGAAUAAGUUUAUAUGACACAACCUCUUGGCUUUGUGGAUUCUCUACACUCUACCUCAAUUUGCAAACUUCACAAGUCCUUAUAUGAUUUAAAACAGGCUCUAAGGGCAUGAAAUGAGAGAUUUACUAAUUUCUUACAUUCUCUAGGUUUCCAAACCACUUAUGCAGACACAUCACUGUUUGUCAAACAUGUUGGUUCUGAGGUGAUGAUUCUCUUACUUUAUGUUGAUAAUAUAAUCAUCACAAGGAGUGCAAAUGAUGCCAUAAGAGAAAUCAUUUCUGCAUUAGCAACAAAAUUGAUAUCAAGGAUCUAGGACCUCUACACUACUUUCUUGGCAUUCAAAUUACACAUAAUAAAGAAGGAUUUUUCUGUCUCAACAUAAAUAUGUUAAUGAUUUGUUAACAAAAACAGAAAUGCAUCAAGCAAAGCUCUGUGCUACCCCUUGCUUACCUUAUAACAGACUUCUUAAAGAUGAUUGAGUACCUUUUAACAACCCUGAGUUAUACAGAAGCAUAAUGGGAACUUUGCAGUAUCUCACCUUUACAAGACCUGAUAUUGCAUUCUCUAUGCACCAGGCCUAUCAAUUCAUGCACUGUCCUACGGAAUCACAUUAUUUGGCUAUGAAAAGGAUACUUAGAUACCUCAAAGGUACAUAGAAUUAUGGCAUUCAAUAUGUUAAAGGAGGAUUGGAGUUAAAUGCAUUCAGUGAUGCUGACUGGGCUGGGAUCCCAAUGAUAGAAGAUCCACAACUGGAUUGAAUGUUUUCUUAAGAUACAAUCCAAUAUCUUGGUCUUCAAAGAAACAAAACACAAUGUCUCGUUCAUCCACUGAAGCUGAGUAUAAAGCAAUUGCUACAACAGCUGGUAAGAUUUAUUGGAUAAGACAGUUACUUGCCUUUUUACAAAUCUCAAUCCCAACUCCAUCUACAAUGUUCUGUGACAGUCUUUCAGUUAUUGCCCUUACCUACAAUCCAAUGAUGCAUCAAAGAACAAAGCACAUAGAGAUUGAUGUGCAUUUUGUGCGAGAAAGAGUUGCCAAACAACUAAUUCAAAUGCAUUUUGUAUCUUCCAAUGAAUAAUUUGCUGAUAUUCUGAUUAAAGCAUUAUCCGCACCAUUGUUUCAUACUCAUUGCUACAAUCUCAGGCUCCGUGGUUCCUCUCCUGAGCUUGAGGGAGGAUGAUAAUAGUAUAAGAUGAAUGGUCAGAUAGGGUGCCAUGUGUCAAUGGAUUAGUAUGGUUGGUAUAAGGUAGUUAAAGGUUGUUGAGAUUGUAGUGACUCAGUGUGCAAGAAAGCUUUGUUACUUAGAAGAAUAUAUAACAGUUUGUAAGAAUUGUAUUACUAAUAAGAAAAUAUACAAGAAUUCAUUUUCCCUCUCUCUCUCUCUCUCUCUCUCUAAAAACCUCCAUUAUUGUUCUGCAUUACUGCAACAUAAUAUGUUGGUCUAAACUACCUUGUAUUUUACAUAUUGUUGGCAAUUCUAAACAAAAAGCUUGAGUAUGUAAUGUCUUAGAUUAGUAUAUGUUUUCCGUUGUAAGUAUAUUAAUUUAAAUUUGUCUCUCGUGCUCUCAAUCACAAGAAUGUCAAGCAUUUCCAAGACAUCCACUCAAGUAAGUGUGUCAUGCAUAUGCAUUUACAUAGUAUAGGCUGUUUAGUUUUGGUGUUAACAAUUAAGUUUUGGGCUUGCAUGCAUGUUAAUUAGAAUGACAUGAUUUUAGAUCGGCAGAGAAUCCUAGUUGUGCUGCUUGUCUUAGCAUGUGUUUAUAUGCUGAUAACCCGUAUGUCCUUAUCCCAUUCAGUUUUUUAUCUGGCCAGGAUGAUAGGUCCUCAUCCUACUAAUUAGGUCCGCGUUUUUGUUAUGCCUCGCAUGCAUAUCUGGUUUGGUUGAAAAACCUUAUCUUGGUUAAUAACGUGUGAUUAGGUUUUGGUUGAAAACCUUUUUGUUCUAAGUCAGCACGUUUUUUAUGAAUGUGAAAUAUAUUGCAGAAAUAUAUCAAUUAUUUAUAUGAUCAAAUAUAUCAAAUCAAAUGUAUAAUCACUGUCAAACUUAUGAACUUUAAAUUAGGAAAAAAUGAAUAAGAAUAUCUGGCAUGUGAACCAAAAAGAGGCGCGAUGUCGCUGCCCUAAAGCCGUAUAUGCCUCCCUACAUGUAGGUUAUGGCGGUGCCUACAACUCCAAGAUACAACCCAAAGCCUCACAUGCACGCCAACGGCAGAAGGGAUUGUCAAGUAGUGAUCAAUUGACCAAGAAUUAUGAAGUAGGAAUGAAAAUUGAGAUGUGAAAACUGAGAGAGACAGAAAAGUUUUAGUGUAUUUUGUUUUGUGUCUGAGGUUUCAUAUUUAAAGAACUUCUCAUACCCUUUUAGAAAAGGAUUAUGACUCUUCAAAUAAAACACAACUCUUAAAUAUUAAAAAUAAAUAAAAUAAUAAUAAUAAGUUUUGAAUCUUUAAAAUAAAAUAUUAUUAAAAUAAUUAAAAUAACCAACAAUGAUUUGAUUGGAUGCCUAUAUAUAGGCAUUAGAUUAGGCUUUUAGGCCUCGUUUGGCACGCCGUAUAAGACCACCGGUGUAACAUCCCACAUUGACUAACGGAGAAGGGAUGAUGUGCCUUAUAUGUACAUGCCCACCUCCUAUAGCAUGAGGCUUUUUGGGGCCUCACUGACUUCAGAUUCUAUUGGAACUCAGUAGUUAAGCGAGUUUGGGCAAGAGCAAUCCUAGAAUGGGUGACCCCUAGGAAGUUCUUGCGUGAGUUCCCAGAAACAAAACUGUGAGGGCAUGGCUGGGGUCCAAAACGGACAAUAUCAUGCUUCGACGAAGUCGAGACUGGGAUGUGACAAAAUGGUAUCAGAGCCACUCUACCAUUCGGCGCAAGUGUGCCGACAAGAACGUCGGGCCCCUAAGGGGGGUGGAUUGUAACAUCCCACAUCGACCAACGGAGAGGGGGUGAUGUGCCUUAUAUGUACAUGCCCACCUCCUAUAGCAGGAGGCCUUUUGGGGACUCACUUGCUUUAGAUUCCAUUGGAACUUUGAAGUUAAGCGAGUUCGGGCGAGAGCUUCUCGAGUAGUUCGGGUGAGAGCUUCUCGCGUGAGUUCCCAGAAACAAAACCAUGAGGGCAUGACCAAACAAUAUCGUGCUACGGCGGAAUCGAGACUGGAAUGUGAUAACCAAAUAGUAUUAAUAGUACGAAACAUGUGUUUUGUGAGCUUCAUAUUAAAUAAGCACCGGAUUUUUUAAUCCAGGCCCACUUAUUUUAUACACCUCCAACCCGCUUGUUUAUCCCAACCAAAACCUUUGGAUAAUUAGUCGAGUAGAAUGGCUCUCUUUGCUUACUCCGUCAUUCUCUAUCGCUUCUUCGUCCCUCUCCUUCUCUCGCAACACUCUCCUUCCACUUUUUCACAUCGCCUGCACUCUCUUGUCUGGAUCCCAAGUUCAUCUUCGCCCUUCUUCUUCUUUUCUCUCUUUGUUCCUCCUUCCUCCUUACACACACACACACACACACACACCUCCCACCUACUCCAUUCGCCUUCGAUCUCUGACAAGUGACAACAAAACCUUCCAUAGGUUGAAGGAGGAAGACGAUGAUUCGAAUUCUUCCAAUUUGGAUUCUGACAAAGAAGGGAGCCGGGCUCCGACGAGGACGGGGAUAGCAAUUCGGAUCUGGGCUCUGACGAGGAGCCUGUUGGUUUAUUACCAUUGAAAAUAUUCAAUCUGGGAUUUUAAUUUUGGUUGGUGAAUCGAUGAGUGGGUUUGUAUGGAGGGUGGGAUUUGAUAAGUUAUAGUAAAUAUUUCUGGUAUUAUUUUGGGUAUUUACCAUUUGGAAGAGAAUUACUCCAGCGUGGAACACAGGUUUACUGUCAAAUCUUGUUCUUAUGUUCAAUGCAUCUGGUUCUUUAGCAUGUAUUUUUCGAACUUGUUUCUUCCUGCCAAAUAACAAAAGGCAUGAAAUUUAUUAUGAAUGCUUUGUGAAUGAGUUGCCUUGCUGAGCAUUUUCACAUUAUUGCCUCUUAUUAUGCAGGUUGUGUUGGCAGCUAAUGACUUGCCUUCUAUCAAUGAUGUAACUUACACUGAACUAAUUGAGAUUAUAUCAAUGAUGUAUCUUCCCUUUUCUUAUCUGGUUCAAUAUCAAACACGGUAUAAAUAAUACGAUCAUUAGUCCGAUACUGCACCAAAUGCCCGACUAAUUUAAUCAGUAUUAUCCGUAAUUUAAUCAGUAUUAUCCAGUGGCUAUUUAUCCUAUCCAACAGAAAUAGUCAGUACAUUCCGAGCUGCCAAACGAGGCCUAAGGUUUGCUGCUGCCGCAUAUAACACAUACAGGUAGAGAGGAUUAGUGCACGCGCUAGGUUUUUAGAAGUGAUCAUCAUAUCAUAAUCUUUGCUACUGUAGCGUGCAUUAGACUAGGUGGUUUUGGAAUGCUGCUUUUGAGUUUUGAAAGAAAAUAUACAAAAUAGAUGCAGCACGUGAAUAUGUUUUUGAGUUUUUGGGUUACUUCAUAUAGGAACGGCUAUCGUUUCCAUCUCAUUGUUUUGAUGGUUCUCAGGUCAAUGCAUAUUCACUACAAGUGUAGUCCUUAUUAUUUUAUCUGGGUUGUCUCGCAUAGUAAUAUUUGCACAGAGAACAUUAUACGAGUGUUGCAGCAAUAGUGUGUGAGGAAGAAAAGAGUUUUCAGCCGUGUGGUUUUAAAAGAUAAAAUUCAGUUUUUCUUUAUUGAUUUUCGUUGUGCUUUAAACCGAGACAAAUUAUGAAAAUAUGCUUUGUCAUUUUUGUAAUUGGUUGACUUUCAUAAACCAUUUCAUAUAUACAUUCCAUGAUCGCGUUAGUAUCUUGCAAAGUUCGAGGAGAUAGUUAUUGACGGCCGGGUUAAUGUCGUGCCACUUCCACUCAAAGGCUAAAGAGAGAUUGAGUAGUAAAGCGCAGAGACAAAACUGCCUACUAGUAUGCAUGUUUAGUUGAGUUGAUGAGUUUUGUAAGUCUUUAUGUACUCAUGUGUUUGUCUUGGCUUGGGAGCUCAGGGAUUUUGCCAAUGGUGGCCUCGUUAAAUCCUGUAACGAUCCGUCCCAAAUUUUAUGAAUUUCGAAAUGAGGGUAAAUUGGUAAUUUCACGUGUGGGAGAUAUUUUGCAUGUUUGUCUUUUUUGGGCUUGUUUAGUGUGUCAGUGGGGUCCAUCCCUUUGUUUUGGUCUCCUGGCCCUUUCUCCUUCUUCCCUCUCCCCGUCACUCUCUAUCUCUCAUCUUCAUUCUCUCUCUCUCUCUCUCUCUCUCUCUCUCUCCCUCCCUCAUUCUCUAUGCUCAUCUCUCUACAACUCUCUCUUUCUUUGAACUCACACACAACACCACCUCCACCAUCACUAGCCUCGCCACUCUGGCGAACCCCAUCACCCUGAGGACCUCCCCGUCGUGACCUUGGACCACCAAGGCUCCUCCUCCUCUUUCCCUCUCACUGUACAGUGUCACUGUCACUGUUCAAAAUGUUCUUCGGAGAACUCUUGCCGAUAUCGACAUGGGUAAGCUUUGGAAACACUCUAAACCUUCUCAUUUUGUCGUCGUAGUUCGUUUUUAUUGUUCUUGUGUGUUAUGGAUGUCGAAGCAUCACACAAACAGCUCGGGGAGACUUCCCCAAAUUCCGGCGAGAACCCAAGCCUUCUAGGCCAUUUUCCAGCCAAUUUCGGCCACGGCUGGCCACGACAUAGGUAUAAUAUUCUUCCUUGUUCUUGGGGCUUCAAUUUGGUAUAUUGAAUGACUAGUUUUAAUUGAGAUUUUGGGAUGAAUGGAGCUCUCCAAGCUCCCGCUUUCUUGUUUCUGGAGACCUGCUGAACCACAACCUGAAAACGGGUCGACCUGACCUGCAACCCAAAACCCAAUCCAAAACACUAUUCUGACCCGACUCGAAUUCGAAUGGAAUAUUCUUUGUGUUGAUUUUCCUAGAAUAUUCCUUGUGUUGAUUUUUUGUUGACUUUUACGAAAUUUUCCCGGGACCCCUCCUAGACUAAUUUCGAUGUCCUGAUUCCAAAUCCUCACUCUGUUUUCCCAAAUUCAAUUGUUUAAGUAAAGUUUUACUGAUUAGUCCUUUUAUGUGCUUAGGUACAAUUGUUAGUGACGACCUCGUCCUCUCUAGUUUGAGCGGCUCUUCGGUGACGAAGUAUCUGUGAGUGGACCCCUUCUAAAAUGCACGAUUUUAUUGCUAGAAAUGCAUACAUGAAAAUCAUGAUUAUAACUAUGUUUUAUGAAAUGUUUAUGGGUUAUCCGAACUAUGCUUUAUAAAAUGUCAUGCUUUAUCGGAUUUAUGUUUGUUGAAAUAUUUAUGAAUAUGGUUUUAUGAUAUGAUGUUUGAGUUAUUGAGCUCUGAUGAGAUAUAUUUUGGAAAGAUUAUGUUCAUAAUUUUAUGUGCUUACUUAGUGGAUAUUCAUAUAUAUAUGUGCCUUCGGGCGGGCAAUGUAGUGCCUUCGGACGGAAGAUAUAUGUACUUUCGGACGGACGAUGUAGUGCCUUCGGGCGAUUGUGAUACCACUACUAAGCACACUAUAUAUGAUAUAUGUUUUAAUCCAAGGUUCUAGGGCAUGCUAGUGUUUUCGGAAAAAACCUAUUAUUUAUUAUGCUAUAUGAGUUUCUAAAACUGGGGGUUAGUACAUUUGAAGAGUAGUUGAUUUUAGUAUUACUUAUAUAUAAACUUGGUCCGCUCAUGCUUUGUUUUACGCCUCCUUCAGGACUUAGAAUCGAGGCGUACACUCCCGCAUCUGUAUCUUCGAGUCCUCUUGGUGUAGGACCCAAUCCUUUGUUCGCACCUUUUCAUAAUAUUCCUUCUACAAUAUUCUUGAUUAGUUGUAUGCUUUGAACAUGUUCACACAUUUGCAUAUUCAUUAUAGUUAAGUUUAUGUGUUUUAUUUUACGUUCGUUCUUUCUUCAUAUUUUUACAUGCAUGUUAAUAUGGCUUCGUCACCUUCGGGUGUCGGUCAGAAUGUGUUUAUCUUGGUGUUUGGAGGAUAUUGGGGUCGGGCAUGUCAAAUCCUACAUCUUGUGUGCAUUUUUUAUUUAUCUUUUUAACUGCAUAUGUGUAGGAUAGUUUGAUAAGUGACUGAAAAUUGAAUUGGAUUUUUAAAUUGAAACCUAUUCACCCCCUAGGUAGUACCACCCUAGAACUUGCACAUAUUAUUAUAAAAAAUAGUAUUACUACCAUCUAUUUAUAUAAUCUCUAAUAGAAAUAAGAUAAACAUGUGUUGAUGGGCUCACCUCUAUUAGAGAGAUAAUACAAAUAGAUGGUAAGUAUAUCAAUUAUUAUGGAUUUGGGUUUUGUCCCGUAAGUGAUGUCUAUAAGAUCUAUAAAGUGGUAAUGAUUAGGAAUGCCAGCGGAGAGGUAAUGGUUAUGACUGUUGGUUCCUGGUUUUGGAGAAUAGGGAUUCUGAUUACACUUUGGUGUUUCAAUCAUUAUCGUCUCCUUUUGAUACGUGCCUUUAACCUUGAAAAUGAGCAUUUCCAACAGUUACCACUACCACCUUGUUCUCCGAUUUGAAACGGUCUAGCUUUUUCCUUGGAGUCUUGAAAGAUAGGCUCUCUAUAACUAUGCGCUCGAUGGCUAGUAUCAAUGCUUGAGUGAUGCAGGAGAGUGAUGUCAAGCAGUGGUGGACAAAGGAGCUGGAGAUUCGCGUGAGUCGUCUGGUUUUUGUAUUACUCGAGUAUUGAAGUUUACAGAUGAGGGGCAACCGGGGCAAGUCUUGUCGUUUAACAAGUCUCGCUUAGAGACUAAUACUCGUAGAAGAAAGGGCCCUGUGAGGGUUGAGGACCUUGAGGUGGAUGGGCUACCAUGCGCAGUUGAUACACCUUGCUUUCAUGUUUCAAGCUUUGUUUCGCUUAAAGAUGCCAUGAGGGGUUAGAGCUCGAAGCUAGGUAAGAUAUGCCAAUGCUAGUACUAGUUAUGUUUGUUUUUGCAAUUUUGUGCAAAUUUGGUGGUAAUUUGUUUCCAUUCAAUAUAUUUCAUUUACUUUUUUUUUUUUUGAAUUGUUAUUAGUACUCCAAAAAUCUCAUUCUACACUCAAAACUUUCUAUAUUAGGAAAUAAAAAUACAUUCGUGAGAAGUGUAAAAUGAGAUUUUUGGAGUCCCAAUAACACUUUUUUUUUUUCCUAUAUAGUUUUAUUUUAUUCCAAAGAGAGAAUAAUUGCUAAUGGUGACCGUUGUUGUGCCCACAAUUUGAACGAAUGUUGCGAGAGGAAUGUUGAAAAUUUGCUUAAUUGUGAAAAGCUUUUCUGGUGAGACUUUGAGAAAGCCAUCACGUGGGCUUUGCAAUUUGGUUUUGUACAGUCAAUUCACUUUCUGUUCCUCACAUCACCUUUGUUGGGUGAGAGUUGCUAUCUGCCCAUUACGUGUAACUUUUUACUUCACUUCCUCUUGCAUUUAUUUUGGCUUCUCAAGCAUUCUUGCUGGUGAGUGCAUAUAUUAAUGUGCACCUAGGUAGAGCCGUUCGACAGAUACAGAAAAAGCUAGCGCAGCAAAACCAUUUGGUGAAGAGGAAAAAAGUACUCUCUUGUUCAUCGGUUUUGGGUGCUGUCAACUUUAUUGAAAGAGCCCAAUCAUCUCCUCUUUGUGACUAAAGAUUGUCACACCAUUUGGAGCAAGAAGGAAACCUUUCUUUGGUUUUAGGGGCUGCUGCUCAUCUGAUAAAUUUCUCUCGCUUUUUUGCUUUUGGUGUUUUGCUUCACACUUCCGUAAGAGCUUUUGUAUGUUUGCAGAGCAAGAACUUGAGAAUUGUUCUUGGCACAUCUAUGUGGGAGAGUGACGUGUAUUUGGGUUUUAGGUUGUGAGAGCUUAAACAAUUUUUUAAUCUUUAUUUGAUAAAGAUCGUUUAGAAAGUGGGACUAAUAUUCUCACCGUUUCCUUACUAGACGUAGACUUACACCGAACUAGUAUACGUCCUUGUGUUAAUUGGAUUUCUGUAUUUAUCAUAUUUUACCUUGUUAAAUAUUUGCCUCAUAUCUGAAGCUUCCGCAAAACAAGGGAAACCAUUAUUAAACAUAGAAUAGUUGGCUAUGUUUGUGUAAAUUCAGGGGAGCUGCAGGUUUAAUUUACACAACUAAAAUUAGUUUUGGGUUUUUUUAUUCUAUAUUUAUAGGAGUGCCUAUCCAAAUGGUAUUUGCAAACAAUGAUGAAAUCCUAUAUAUGUCUGUGUUAUGAAACUUGAGUCAGCCAAACAUGAUUUUGUAUAUUUCUUGCUUUUAUGGUGGCAUUAUAUAUACUAACAAAAAUCAUUAACCUUCCUGCAUCUCCCAGGUUUAUUUCUGCAUGUGUUCCUAAAACACUAGAGAUGUAAGAGUGCGAGUUGAAAGAGUUGGUUUCUGAGUUCGAUCAACUUCCUAUAAUAUAUAUAGGGGUGUGAUAUCUACACACCUUAUUUUACUUCUCACACAUUUUUUUUAUUUUCGGCCAUCAGAUUGGAUGAAUUGAAGAAGAUCAACGGACAUAAAUUAUCAAGGGAUGUGUGAGAAGUAAAAUGAGGUGUGUGGAUAGCGGCUCUAGAUUUGCUGUCCCCAAAAAUAUGUCUCGUUUAUGUCUCCUUGCUAAUAUGUUGACACAUGUCAUUUAACUUAACCUAAAACUAACUCUGUUAAUUUUAUUUAUUUAACAUUUAAAUUAAAAAAAUCCCAAAUAAUAAAAAAAAAAACUGUUGGGUUAAUGAGGUGAGCAAAUGAGAGCUGUGAUUCUCUGAGGUCGUUCCCUUUGGGCAUUUUCCCCAACCUUUCAUCUCUUCGUAUAGGAAAUUUUGAGAAUCUGGAAUCUCUUUCAGUUGAAGGAGGAGCAGAUGAAAAUCUCAGCCAUCUCAACUCCCUGGAUAUUUGGGUAUGUCGAAAUCUUGUCUCUUUUCCCGAGGGGGGUUUGCCCACUCCCAACCUCACUUUCUUUGAUGUCUACGACUGCGAGAAUUUGAAGUUGUUGCCGGACCGAAUGCACACCCUCACCGCCCUUCAAACCUUAUUGAUACGCAGUCUUCCAAAUCUUGUCUCUUUUCCUGACGGAGGAUUGCCCACUCCCAACCUGACUUACUUUAAAGUAGGGGAUUGCGUGAAUUUGAAGUUGUUGCCGGACCGAAUGCACACCCUCACCGCCCUUCAACGUUUGGAGAUAUCCAAUCUUCCAAAUGUGGAGACGUUGCUCAAUGAACAGAUGCUCCCUGCCACUCUUCACGCUCUCGAAAUCUCUUAUGCAUCUUAUCUGAAAACUUUGGACGGAAAGAGUUUUGAGCACCUCACUUCUCUUCAACAGCUACAAAUCGAAGGGUGCGAGAGUCUCGAAUUCCUGCCAAAAGAGGGUUUCCGGCAUCUCUUUCUUAUCUGAAGAUCCGGGGUUGUCCUCCUCUGAAGAAGAGGUAUGGGAACAAAAAGGGAAAAGAUUGGAGAAGCAUAGCUCGCAUUCCUUGUAUAGAGAUAGAUGAUGAAAUCACCAUAUGAGCUUUCAUUUCGUUAACCCAACAAUAAUUAAAGUUAACAGAGUUAGUUUUAGGUUAAGUUAAAGGACAUGUGUCAACAUAUUAGCAAGGAGACACAAAAGAGACACUUUUAGGGCCAGCAAAUCUGGAGCUGUGGAUAGCACACAUCUAUAUAUACUUUGAGUUAUAUUGUUGUUUUGUUGGUUAGAAAGGGUUGUAGGUUUCCAUAUGCUUGUGUUUUAUUACGUCCAAAACGUAGGAGCUUUGAGCCAGAAAUGAAGCAUUUGAGAAUUUUCUUCAAGUGUGAUAGGAAACUGAACUUCCUGCUCAGGUGCUGCUAUGCAUUUGGCAUCAUUGGUUGAAAGAUUUAGUGGUACAUCUGUUUCAAUUUUGGCGUAGGUGACUGUACUUAUUAUCAUUUAAGAGAAUAGGGAUCAUCAGAUAUAGUGGUAAAGCCAUAAAUUAUCACAGAAAUGAGCGAAAUUUAAACAGGUAAAAGAGUAUAUGACUGUGAAGACACGUGAUAUUAUGAGCCUCUAGAAACACACGCGAGCGCGCACAAAUAUAUAUAUAUAUAUAUAUAUUUUUUUUUUUUGAACAAACACGUAGACAUAUAUAUGAAACAAUUGAAAAAUGUAAAAAAAUUCGUGAGAAGGAAAAUAAUUAUUUUUUGGGUAAUAACAAAUAUAAAUUAUGAAAAAAAAAAGAGGCUUAUUUAGACCAACUCUGACUCUUAGAGUAAGUCCUAAAAUUUACCUUCUAUUUCCCCUCAAUUUCCUUCCAACCUUAGGCCAAUUUGGGACUAUAGGUUGGGACUAUAGGUUAGAAGCUAAAAUUGGACCAAAUACCGGCCAGAAAAGUGGGCUGGAUUAGUGGUGUGCCCCACUUUUGCGUGUGAACGCGCUCCAAAACUUGGCAGCGCAGCAAGAAUGACACGCCCAUGCACGGAACGCACUGGGAGAUGAGCAGCUGGUGGUCCCAUGCACAUGGAUCUUGUUGGCCACCCAUCAGAGCCCAAUGACUCUUUUUCUCAUCCAAGGGUUGUGCUUCACUGGACCGUUGGAUCCAGGUUCGAAUUUGUGUUUUUUUUUUAGUUUAUAUUUAUAAAUUUAUUAAAUCUAACAGCUGAGAUUGAAUAUAAACCAAAUCUAAUUAUGGAAAAAAAAAUUUUAAAGUUAAAAUUUAAAUCCAACUGCUAAAAUAAUUUAAAAUUUUAUUUAACUCAAAAUUCACUCAAAAACUCUAUAAAUGCCUAUAUAUUUGUUCAAACAUCCACUCAAAAUUCACCUUUCUCCUACAAUUCUUUCAAUUUUUCAUUCUACCAUCUUCCAAAACCAUGUGUUUUGUGUUUAUUCAUCUCUAUCAUGUGUUUCAUAUUCUUCCAUAGUGUUUCAUGAGUUUUAUAUAUUGAUUUAGUGAUUUUUCAAUAUUGAUCGGGAUUUAAAUAUUUUUAGGUUAAAAUGUUCAUAAAAUUAAUUUAUGAUAAUCUACAUAAUUUUUUUAAAGUUAUUUUAAAAAAAUAAAAUGAUUAAAUUUAUUUUUUAAUAGUAUGGGGGUAAAAAUUUAACCCAUAAGGGUUAAAGUAAAAAAACUACUUCUCAAUUAAAACAUAAAUAUUCUGAGCUAAAAAUUUUAUGUUUUAACUCAAAUGUUGAAGAUGCUCUCAAAGGAGGGAGAAGAAACAGGAAAAAAGGGAGGAAGAGAAGGACGGGGAAAAGUGGGUAGGGAAUGCCUCAAACUUAAAAAAACUCAAAAUGGUAAAAUAUCGAGGAUUUGACAGUCCUCGUUCUCACGUUGAGGCAGAGCCAUAGAGAGAGAAGGGUAGAGAGAGGAUGGAGAACCAUAAGCAGAUAGAGAAGGAUGAGUGGGGCCAUGGCAGUGGAGACGGCGAUGUGGCUGUAGUUUGCUGCUCUGUUGCUUCUUCUUUGAAACCGCUUUCCUCUUCUGGUUCUCCACCCCCAAACUCAAGCUUUGAAACUCUGCAAUUCAACUUUCAACUCUGUAAUCGAGAAGAAGAAAGGUAACAAAAGAGAUGAAAGUACCAGAGGGGCGGAUUUAACUCGUAGGGUCAAUUUCUGACGAUUGAAGGUGCGGCCGCACCUCCUUAGAGCUUUGUGGCUUCCCCACUGAUCAGCUAUAGAAUCUGGUGUUCGGUGUUCCACAUAAACCCAAAAGCUAGAAUCUAGCUAUAGGGAUCAUCACAUCACAUAAAGCUCAGUGUGAAUUGGGAAUUUUCCUAGUAGCUAGUGGUAACUAGAGAUUUUGCACGAGAGCCUGAUGUCAGAAUACAAAGAAGUUCUUGUUCACCAUAUGUAUUCUUGAGAGAGAAAGAGAGAUUUGAGAGAAUAGCAAUCUUAGAGAGAGAAAUGAAUUGUAUCUUGUAUGUAUUGAAUUAAUGAAUGUGUUACAAUAUCUACACAUAUAUAUAGACAAGGCUAUCUUAGUCACUAAGUAAGUUAACAAACUUUAACUACCUAGCAACCUAAUCUACGUACACUUGUCAAUAUCUGAAACACCUAAUACAUCUUUACACCUGAUGGUUAUCUUGUUCGUAAUAACCAGCAAAGUUCAUCAUUAAGGUAUAGGGUUUUUAUCACAAAUGGUCCCUGACAUUGAUCAAACACAUCAUUUUGGUCCCUGACAUUGAAAAUCAAUAGAAAUGGUCCCUGACAUUGAUCAAACACAUCACAAAUGGUCCUUCCGUUAAAAACUUUUUGGGCAAUUUUCAAAGCUUCGUAACUCAAUCGUUUCUUAACCAAAUUUGACCCAUGAUAUAUCAAAAUGAAGAUAGGCAAGUGUAGAACAAGAUUAUACCGAUUUGGAAGCUCAAUGGUUGCCGGAGAUGGCCGGAAAGUAGCCUCAAAUGUGAUUAGUCCGCGAAAAAACUGGAAAACUCGCCUGAAAUGGGGUAAACUUUAAACAUUCAUAACUUCUUCAAUACUCAACGAAAUUGAGUGAUUCAAAAAUGAAAAUCAUACGUCUCAACGAGAAAAAGAGAAUGGUACCUUUAUUGACUACUAAUUUACUGUGGUUUGACCAUAAAAUGGCUUGAACUUGGAUAACCAUUUUCGAGUUAGCCAAUUUCGAGUCGUUUUCCGGCCAAACUAUGACAAGUUAGCCAUCAACAAAGAUACCAUUCUCUUAGUCUCGUCUAGAAGUAUGAUUUUUGUUUUUGAAUCACUCGAUUUCGUUGAUUAUUGAAGAAGUUAUGAAUGUUUAAAAUUUAUCCCAUUUCAGGCGAGUUUUCCAAUUUUUUUGCUGACCAGUCACAUUUAAGGCUAUUUUUCGGCCAUCUCCAGCAACCAUUGGGCUUCCAAAUAGGUACAAUCUUGUUCUACAUGUUCCUAUCUUCAUUUUGAUAUAUCAUGGGUCGAAUUUGGUUAAGAAACAAUUGAGUUACGAAGCUUUGAAAAUUGCCCAAAAAGUUUUUAACAGAAUGACCAUUUGUGAUGUGUUUGAUCAAUGUUAGGGACCAUUUCUAUUGAUUUCAAUGUCAGGGACCAAAAUGAUGUGUUUGAUCAAUGUUAGGGACUAUUUGUGAUAAAACCCUUAAGGUAUAUAUGUGUAUUCUCAUAUUAAAAAUAAAAAAUAAAAAAAGUAAAAAAUAGUGAAAGUCAUACAACGGGGUCAUAAAGUAAUUUCUCUUUUACAAAUAUGGUUUUCGAGCCAUUCCAAGCAUUUCUGUUGCAAGUUACAUAUGGCUAUUUGGAAGAAGCAUAAUAAAAUGAAGUUUGAAAGUAAGCUUGCUUCCUUUUCACGUCCUUGUUAUUUUAUUUUGGCCUGAAUUAAGUAGGUUGGAGUUUUCACUCUUGAUCAUGUGCAUGGUAUUUUGGAUAAGCAACUUGGGGUGUCUCUUGUAAUCUCGACUAAGUCCUGUAAACACCUACAAUUUCUGUUCUUUGGCAUCCUCCUCCAUUUUAUAGGGUCAAAGUGAAUAUGAAUGGCCUUGCUAAAAGUAAUCCAAGUUUUGUAGCUUGUGGUGAGGUUUUUCGAGAUUCUGUGGGUUAUUUUCUUGGUGGUUUCUCCUUGAGCUUAAGGCAUUGUACUUCUUUCUAUUCGAAGCUUCAUGUUGCCAUCUUAGUUGUAGAGUUGGAUCACACGCAGGGUUGGCAAGAUUUAUGGCUUGAAAGUAACUCUUCUACCGUGAUUUCUUGCUUUGCUUAUGGUUCUUUCUCUCCUAUUUGGUCGCUCUAGACUUGUCGGAAAACGGUAUUUCCCGGUUGCGGCACAUGGUAUUCCGUUGUUCUCAUAGAUUUCGAGAAAGGAAUGCAGUUGCUGAUAAAUUAGCCAAUUUGGGAUUUCUCUCGUCUUCACUUGUUUGGCAUGCCACUCCUUAUAGACAUUCUUCUUGUCUGCAUUCAGAUUUAUUAAGUAUGUCGACCCACAGGUUUGUCUCCUCUUUUUGAUAUGUCAUUUUCUUUUUUACCUAAUCUUUUUGGAUUCUCCUUUUUUGUUUUGUAGCUUGUCUUGCAGGUUCUUACAUUUUACGUGUUAUUUUAGAGAGGGUCGGUCAUAAGUCCACCCCGUUUUUGUUUGUAUUUUCUUUUCCAAGAAGGGUAAGUAUAUGUGUGAUAGCCCGUCCCUAAUCUUAAGAGUUUUUAAAGUUUUAAUAAAGGAUUUUACAAAAAUGCCCUUUGAGGUACGCGCAUUUUUUGAGGUUAAUCGUCAUGUCGUGCCAUCUAAGAUUUGUUUUCUUGGCAUAUCAUCGUAGUACUCGUCGCUACGGAUGCGUGGGCGUAGACAGUUCGUGUCGAAAAAGUUAUUGACGUUUGAAAUUUGGGAAUUUUAGGAAUUUUAAUUUUAGUAAAAUAUAGAAUUUCUUUUAUGAAAAUGGACGGCCCAGAUUUAAUGAAGAAUUAAAUGGAUGGCUGGGAUGAGAGAAAGAAGGUUUUGUGUGUGUGUGUGCGUGAGAAGAAGAAGAAUCAGAGGAAAAAGAUUGGGCAGAAAUGCCCAAUCGGGAAAAGAGAGAAGAAUGGAUCAAGAGGGAGUGAGAGAGAGAGUUCAGCGAAUGGAGAGAAUAGAGAGAGAGAAACCAGCCAAUAGGAACAGAGGACAGGAGGAAAGGAAGGAGAGAGUGGCGCGGGGGAUCGGCCGGAUCCCCCUUGGCCCGUUUUUGACCCGUCGGCAUCCAUGCCUAUUUCUGACGAUUUUCACCCAUUUUUCCGGCGAAUUGCUUCAAGAAACUUCAUGGGAAACACUCUAGGAGCCUUCCUCUAUCCAUUCCAUCUCAAAAUUGGAGAGAUUUGGCUUUGAAAAUGGAGAAAACCGCAAGGAGGGGUGCGGCGACUUUGGCUUCGAAUCACCCAAUCCCGAAGCAAUUUCUUUCAAUUGCCACCACCCAUAGCUUCCUCUUGAGGCCUAGAACAAAGCCCAAGCAUUGAUUGGAACGGCGGAGUUGAUUUGAAGACGAAUUGGAACUCACCCAAUUCUAGGGUUCUUCACGGUUUUGACGAAAUUGGAGCCUUUCCAAGCCAAAUUGGCCUUUGCCUCAGGUAUAAAGUUUACUCUACUUGUUGAGAUCUUCAAUUCUAUAUUUUUUGAGAAUUUUUAGAAAUAGUUGGAUUUUCCGGCGAGCCGAGGCGGCCAACCGCCACCCGUGGCGGCGCGUGGCCAGUGGCCCACCAAUGUCAUUCUUAGCAUGUUUUUAAUGUUCUAGGUUCAGUUUUGAUAAUUGAUUGACGUAAAUUGAGUAAUUGAACCUAAGUUAGUUACGAUUCGUGGUGAGGUGAAAAUGUGAAUUGACGAUCCGACCGUUGAUCGUCACCAAACUUUGAUACGUUGUAAUACGUAAUAUUUGAGGAUUAUAGGAACUGACGGAUUGGGAAUCCGAUUUACGGAUCUUCCGGAAACGGAGUUGUAAGUUUAUAAAAUAGAAUGUUAACCGUCACUUGAUUUUGACAACUGGCGGAGAUCCGACCGUUAGAUGGUAAUGGAAUUUUAUGAUGUUGCUCUAGAGAUAUAUUGUGGAACUCUGGAAGUUAUGGAUUGGAAAUCUGAGUUGUAGAUCUUCCGGAUCGAUCUACGUAGUGACAUGUUUUAUAUAAGUUAUAUAUUCUAUCAAUAUGAUUUCUGAGGUUUGAUUUGAUGAUUGUUCUAGGCCCUGAUCGUCAUGACGCCUUGAUGUAUUGUGCUAGGGAGUUGUAGGGCGAACUCCAGGUGAGUGGGCAUUAUUUUCUGUAUUUACCUAUAUACUACUGAAUUUCCCAGAAAUUGAAUUUAAAUGAAAGUAUGUUUUUAAAAUGCCAUGCAUGCAUAUUAUGAAUUAUAUGAAUUAGUAAUUGAUGCAUAUAUAUGUGAAUUGGUGUUGUGGACGCACAUGCGAGUAUCAGGUGAGUGUUAUGUUAUUUAUGUAAAUCAUUGAUGAUGUGAAUUGUGUUGAGAGCUCAUAACAUGCACCCCUGGUGUUAGUGCUUAUAGUAUUCAUCGCACCGUACACUCACCUUGGAUCCAAGUAGGUGCAUGUCGUACAGACCAUGAGAGGGUUCUGACAUGCUAGUCGUACAGAUCACUAGAGGUGGUUCCGACUGGUAGGUGACCUUAGAUUAUGUGCACAGAUGAUUGAUGAGAGAAACACUAGAGCGUAUUAUUACACCAUUCUUAUCGUACAGAUUACUUUAGGUAGUUCCGAUUUAUGUGUAGAGUAGUGCUGUACAGGUCACAGUGGUGACUCUGGUUGGAUUGGAUAUUGAGCUAUAGAAUUAACCGAACAGGACCAACUGCAGGGUCUCCGGUUGAUUCCUUAUUCCACCUGUUAUAUUGAUGCAUCUUUAUUAUGUUUUGAUGCAUAGCAUGGCAUAUUUUCUCGAAAAGUGUUAAAGACUUGUGAUUUGAGUUUUGAGAUUUUAUAUGGUUAUAUAUAUUCUAUUUUUCUGGGAAAGUAUACAGGUUUUACAGCGAGGGGUUAGAAAUGUUUAAAAUGAAAUGUUUUCGAAAAACUUUGUUUUACUAACCCACUUAAUUUUGUUUUGCGCCCCUCCAGGUUCAAGUUAGCAGAGCUUUGGUGGCCACGAGGAAUCCAACAAUGUUCUGACAAAAUUCUCAAAAGUAGGAUUCACCCUCGGGUGUUAUAUCCUAGUAAUUGUAUCUUUAAAGCUUCCAAACUGUGUAAAUGGUUACGUCACUCUCACGUGACGGCCAGCAUGCCCUCCUUCGGGAUGGGGUGUGUCAGUUGGUAUCAGAGCCUAGGUUGCAGUCCUGGACAUCUUGAGAAUUCCCUAGUGUCUUCUGUCAGAACUUUACCACCUCGUAGAGAGCCACUUUGUUCAGAUGAGCUUAGUUUCCCCGAUUUAAUUUAGUUAUAGGAGACUACUACUGAUGUGAUUCAGUCUAUUACCCAAAUGACUCCUUUUGAGAAUGGUUAUAGAUUGAAUUUGAAUCAAUUUAGGGAAAUGAAAGACCGGAUGGAGCAGAUCAAUGGCUUAAUCAUUUGGAAAAGGCAUUUCAGAUUCUGCAAAUUAAAGGAAUCUUUCUCUUGAAGGUAGGUCGAGAUGACUACCUGGUUUCUGAGUAUUGAAAUUGCAUCAUGGUGGAGAUAGGAGUCUUAUACGAUGUCACCAGAGGAAACAGCUGAAUGAGAAUUGUUUAAAGAGUUGUUUAAGAAAAGGUUUAUUCCUCCGGCAUAUAUGGACGGUAAGAAACAAGAGUUUACAAUUUGAGACAAGGAAAAGAAUGAGAAUCAAAGGAAGGAUGACCAAGGUAAAGGUCAUGUAUCUCAAGAACCUCGCAAGACUUAGAGCUUCAAAAGAAGUGGGGUUAAUUCUAGUUCUGCCAUCAGAGAUUUUAGUACCAUUGAUCAGAUACGAGGUGGUAGAUUUACUGGAGAUCCUAGAUUGCAGAGGCGAAGUGACUCUGGUAGAGGGAAUGUACCUUUGUGCUGUAAGUGCAAUAGCAUACACUUUGGAGAGUGUAGGCGAGAAAGUAGAUGAUGCUUUACAUGUGGACAAAUGGAACGUAGAACUGCAAGAUACUUAGAAUCUUUCGGGCUUGAUCAUGGGCACGUUAAACAUUCUUGGUUACUUUGCUAGAGUUUUAAUUGAUUGUGAUGUAGAAAUUUUAUGUUAUUAACGAUGUUGCCAAAGAAAGUAGUGAAUGAGCACGAUCGAGGCGUAUAUAUGUAUUUCUGAUGAAGAGCAAGAUGAUAAUAUUACACCCUUGAGAAUUGUUGCUUACUUAUCGAGACAACAGUGAGUUAUCAUUAUUGCGGGCUGCAGACCAUAAUAUCCAUAACUUAUUUGUUGGAUUCGUUAAGCAGGUAAACAAGUAGGUAAUUCUAUGUCGGUUAUGAUUAUUCAGGGUGUCCAGUGAUGGUGGAAGAAGUAGUUAUGCCAGCGAAUCUUAUCCCGUUAGACAUUGUGGAUUUUGAUGUGAUUUUAGGCACAUAUUGGUUGCAUUAUAAUCGUGCCAAUAUUGAUUGCUACGGGAAAUCAGUUACUUUCCAUCGUCUUGGAUUAUCAGAGGUUACUUUUGUGAGUGAGCAAAGUGGAAUGAGGCAUGCCGUUAUUUCUGUUGUGAGAACAAAGAGAUUGUUAUCAAAAGGUUGCCAAGGAUACCUAGCUCAUGUGGUGUUGCAGGAUCGUACUCCUAGUAUUUUGGAUGACGUACGAGUAGUAGACAUUUUCCUAAUGUGUUUCCGGAAAUAUUUACCUGGAUUGCCACCAGACAGAGAUGUGGUGUUCACUAUUGAAUUGUCUCCAAAUACAUAUUUUAUGUUAUAGAUUGGUUCCUGCAGAGUUAAAAGAAUUGAAAAUUCAGUCACAAGAAUUGGUUGAUAAAGGUUUCAGUCAACCUAGUACGUUACCUUGGAAAACCCCAGCUUUGUUUAUAAGGAAGAAAGACAGGACCUUAAGAAUAUGUAUUGAUAUUAGGUAAUUGAAUUGGGUAACGAUUGAGAGCCGUUAUCCAUUGUUGUGUAUUGAUGAUUAUUUGAUCAGCUCUGAGGCGCCUAUGUAAUUUCUGAGAUUGACUGGAGGUCUGGAUAAUAUUAGUUGAAGAUUAGCAGUGUGGAUGUUCAUAAGACUGAAUUCAGGACUCGUUAUGGUCAUUUCAAGUUAGUGAUGCCAUACAGAGUGACGAAUGCACCUGCUACUUUUAUGAGUUUGAUGAAGGAAGUAUUCCAGUGAUAUCUAGACCGGUUUGUUGUUGUUGCCAUUGACGAGAUUGAUAAGAUUAGAACGGAGCAUGCUAGAUAUUUUGAGUUGGUGUUGCAAUGAUUAAGGGAACGUCGAUGUAUGCUAAGUUUAGCAAAUGCUAAUGUUAGAUAAAUCAAGUGACAUUUUUUAGACAUAUUUUAUCUACGUAAGGUAUUCAAGUGGAUUCUUAAAAGGGUAGCAGCGAUUGAGAAUUUGGAACAAUUGCGAACCGUGACUGAGAUUCAGAGUUUUCUCGGCUUAGCAGGUUAUUAUUGAUAGUUCGUCCAAGAUUUUUCAAUCAUUGCUUUGCCUUUGGCGAGAUUGAUGAGAAAAGAGGUUAAGUUUGAGUGGGAUGAAAAAUUGUGAGUAGAGCUUCAGCAAGUAAAAUAUUCCCUCACUCAUGCAUCUGUUUUCGCACUCCCAGACGAUAGUGGUAAUUAUGUGGUCUAUAGUGAUACUUCUUUGAAUGUUCUUGGAUGCGUGUUGAUGCAACAUGGUAGGAUGAUUGCCUAUGCUUCACGGCCAUUGAGAUCUCAUGAGAUGAAUUACCCUACUUGUGAUUUGGAAUUAGCGGCUAUCAUUCUUACUUUGAAGUUAUGGAGACAUUAUAUUAUUGGUGAGAAAUGCAAGAUUUUUAUGAAUCAUAAAAGUCUCCAAUAUAUGUUUACGCGGAGAGAUCUUAAUCUUAGGCAACAAAGGUGGAUUGAGUUGCUUAGUGAUUAUGAUUGUGACUAGGGUGGUCGAGCUAAUGUUGUGGCUGAUGCAUUUAGUAGGAAGACUCCAGUGAGAAUUAAUGCUUAGUACGCUUGCUAUGUUCAUCUUCUUGUGGAUUUGAGAUCUACUGGAGUAAAGUUGGGUAUCAAAGAUCGAGAAGAAGCCUUACUUGCUAAUUUUCAAGUUAGACCUAUUUGGUAGAUCGUACUCGAGACCCAAACGUUUGAUGAAGAAAUUCAAGAAUUUAUUUAAAGCAAGGGAUAACAGGAAAAAGAAAGACCUCAGAGUUAGAGAAUCUUAUGGCAUGCCUAUGCAAAAGAACAAAAUGUAUGUACCUAAUGUUAUGGAAUUAAAGAAAACAAUUUUGGACGAAGCGCACGGUUCAUCUUAUACAAGGCAUCUUGAAGGUAUUAAAAUGUAACAUAUCAUUCGAAAAUUUUACUAUUGACCGAGUAUGAAAAGAGAAAUGGUGGAGUAUGUAAGUAGGCGUAUCAUCCGUCAGCAGGUUAAAGCGGAAAGAAAUAAGUCAUUUGGAUUGAUGUAGUCAUUUCUUGUUCCACGAUGGAAAUGGGAAAAUAUUACUAUGAAUUUCGUGGACAAGCUUCCUCGUAUACAAAAUAGUUAGGUUGGAAUUUGAGUAAUAAUUGAUCGGCUUGCGACGUCAGCGCAUUUUACUUCAGUAUGAGAACAUCAACCUUUCUAGAAGUGCAACAGUGAUUUAUCUGUCUUAUGGAAAAGAGAUUUGGGCAUACGGAUCUGUUGAACUUCUUGGGUAUGUUGGUCCUUCAGUUUGUUCCCAAGAGGAACGCCAUAAGGCCGUGGAUAGCAGUGUCUUGUGUUUCAAAAUUGUUAGAAUUGUGGACGGAUGGUAUUUUGGGGAGCAAAAGGUUCAACCACGAAAAGUCUGAAAAAAAUUUAAGGCCAUGAGGUAGUGGAGGAGACUACUCGGAAUAUUCAAGUAAUUAAGUCUAAACUGAAAGUGGCCCAGGAUUGUUAGAAGAGCCUUGCCGAUAGACAUGGCACGGAUCGGAUGUAUGAUGUAAGUGAUUGAGUAUUUCUGAAACUUUAACCUUGGAAAGGUGGGGUUCGGUUCGGGAAGAAAGGUAAGUUAAGUCCUAGGUACAUCAGACCAUAUGUGAUCACCGAAAGAGUCGGUGAAGUUACUUACAGGCUUGAGUUGCCUCCAGAGUUGUCGAAAGUGCAUAAUGUGUUCCAUGUUUCCAUGCUUCGAUAUUAUGUUUCUGAUCCUUCACAUAUGAUUUCUCCUUAAUCUUUGGAAGUUAAUCCGGAUUUAAUUUAUGAUGAGGAACCAGUGAUAAUCUUGGAUUGGAAGGACAAUUUCUAAGGAAUUAAACAGUGAAGUUAGUGAAAGUUUUAUGGAGGAAUCAUUCAGCAGAAGAAACUACUUAAGAGACAAAAGAUCGAAUGAGAGAGAUGUUUUUCAGGUUGUUAUAUGGAUAUUGAUGGAUUGUAAAGAUUGUGUAAAUUUCAAGGAUGAAAUUUUUUUAAGGUGGGUAGAUUGUAGAGAUGGCAAUUUUAACCGUGAAACCCGAUACCCGUGGAUAACCGCCCGAAUGGAUUAGGUUUGGAUAUGAAAAUUCGGGUAUGGUUUGGAUAUGGGGAAAAACCGUGAACUUUAUUUGGUUAUGGGUUUGGAUAUGGUUAUAGGGGUAUCCAAUCCAUAUCCGUACCCGAAUCCAAACCGAAUAUUAUAUAUAUAUAUAUUUGAUAUAUAUUAUAUUUUAUUCAAUUAAUUCUUAAAAAUUCAAUUUUGCAACCCGGAUUCACUGAUUCAGCAGUUGUGUAAAAUGACAUGAUUGUCCAUCUCAUCUUUAGAUCCUACGGUGAGGAUGAUGAGUUAGAGGGGUAGAACUAGAAUCAUCUUUUUAUCAUAGGGUUUCAGUCUUUCAGAUUAGGACUUGAAUCUUCUUUCUUGGGCGUAGCCGCGCAGGUAAGGCCAUGCAUGCCGCCGAUCCUGGCACGUGUGAGAGAAAAAGAGAGUGACAAUGAGAGAAAGAGAAGAGAGAGUGGUUGUCCAGAUAAUAGGGAGAGAAACAGAGAGGGAGGGGUUGGGAUGGUGAACAGAGAGGAGUAAGGUCCCCCGACUCCGGGACUCCCUCAGUGUCAGUCCAUGAAUCACUCUGGAUCGUCCGUUCCCUUUUGCGUGUCGGAUGAGUGGCUGGAUUUCGAAAGCUAAGUUCCUUUUUUUAUUGGAUUCUUUAUUGUUAGCAUAUAUUUUCAUCAUUUCAGCCUUUUUGCUGUGAAUUAUAUCCGGAUUUUGUUGCACUGUUUGGUCAGGUUUUGGGGGUUCCUUUAUUUGUUUCAUUCUCUGUCAUUUUCUUUCAUUUUGUUGAUGCAGCAUCUCUCUGUUCUGUGUAUUGUUCUUUGUUUUAAGGUCAGUUUUUUUUUUUGUUGGUUUUCAAUUCGUUGAUCUAUGACUCUGUGUUUAGAUUUUCGUUCGUGUAUGAUUAAAUGGGUAUUGGGUUUUGGUGGUUGAAAAUAUGUUUUUUUCUUGCUUAUGCUUCUUGCUCAUUUUCCUGGGAUUUUUUGUUUUGAGUUGCAAGGGUAAAGAAAACACUGAAAUCUUAGAAAUCGGUUUUGGCAUUUGUGUUAAUGCAUUUCCAUUUUUGGUUUGCAGGAUAGGUGGAUGCAUUGAGACCUAAAAAUAUUUGCGUGAACAUCAUAAAGUUUUCUAAGGCUCCAAACGUUGAAGGGUAAGUGUUUUGAGCUAUGUUCAAUUUUUAAUUUGAUUCUCUACUGUUGGGGAUGCAUCUCUGAUCUCUCCGUUCUGUGUAUUGUUCUUUGUUUUAAGGUCAGUUUCUUCUUUUUUUUUUGGUUCUUUUUGUGGGUUUUUAGUUCGUUAAUUUGUGACUCUUGUGUUUAGAUUUUUCGUUGGUGUAUGAUUAAAUGGGUAUUGGGUUUUGCUUGUUAAAUCAAUAAUUGUCUUCUUGUUUAUUGUUAUAUAUUUAGUUUACAUGUUAAUUGACUCAAUUUCAGUAUUAUACCAUGUCUUUGUUUACAUAUUAAUGGAUUUGGUUGUGUUUGCAGCAAUCAAAAUGUCUAAAAGAAAAUUUAAGUCUCAAGAAGAAACAAUAUGUACCCCAACUGAUUGUAAUCUAGCACCUACAUUACAUCCAAGUGCUGUGCAACAAGAAAUACCAAGUCAAAUUGCUCAGCCCCAAGAUAUACCAACUCCAAAUGAGGUCGCUGGUGAGAUUAAGGAACCUGGGGGUGAUGAUGGUGAAGGUAAUAAUUCGAGACUUCGCAGUUUGGUGUGGCAACAUUACACAAGAACACUAGUUGAUGGGGUGAUGAAAGCAAUAUGUAAUUAUUGUAGCAAGAAGCUUGGUGGGAACACUGUAAAUGGAACCAGCCAUUUGAGGCAUCAUGUGACGAUAUGUCCACGUCGGAGACAAAAAAAAUUGAAGCAAACACUAACCCAAAAAGUAGGAGAUGGGAAAGUAGAGUUGUAUACAUUUGACCAAGAAAGUGCAAGGAGAGCUCUCGCCCAAAUGAUAAUAUUGCAUGAGUAUCCUCUUUCCAUGGUUGAGCAUGUUGGAUUUAGAAACUUCAUGAGUGUUGUCCAACUGUUGUUUAAGGUUGUUUCAAGAAACACAAUCAAGAGUGAUAUCCUCAAAAUAUAUGAUUAUGAGCGUUUGAAAACAAUGCAAUUGUUGGAUGAAAAUAAGAGUAGAAUUGCCAUAACUACUGAUAUGUGGACUGCAAGUAAUCAGAACAGAGGAUUUAUGGCAAUAACAUCUCAUUUUAUUGAUGACUCUUGGACGUUGCAGAGCCGAAUAAGGUGAUAUUUUUAAUACUUUAACUUCUAUUUAAUUGUUGUCUAGCUUUAGAUUUAUAUUUCAGAUUGUUUAUUGUAACCAUCUUCAUUGUAAUUUUUUUUCAGAUUUAUUUAUGUGCCUUGUCCGCAUACCGCCGAGACACUUUCAGAUGUUUUGAUGGAGUGCUUGCUAGAUUGGAACCUCGAUCGUAAGCUUUCUACCUUAACAGUAGAUAAUUGCACUACAAAUGAUAAAAUGAUUGAUGUUAUUCUUGAAAAACUUUCUGGUAGUUCACUUUUGUUGGGGUGGAGGGUUCUUUCACAUGCGUUGUUGUGCACAUAUAUUAAACUUAAUUGUGAAGGAUGGUCUCGAAGUGAUUGGUGGUGGUAUUGAGAAAAUUCGUGAGAGUGUUGUUUAUUGGACAACAACACAAAAAAGAAAGGAAAAAUUUGAGGAAGCAGCACGUCAGUUGAAGCUUCCAGGCACUAAGAAAAUGGUGCUUGAUUGUAAAACUCGAUGGAAUUCCACCUUUUUAAUGAUUCAAUCUGCUUUGAUUUACAAGGAUGUUUUCCCUCGUUUGAAACAACGAGAGUCGCAAUAUAAGUGUUUGCCUGAUGAUAGAGAUUGGGAGAUGGCAAGAGAGAUUUGUGAGAAGUUAAAGUUGUUUUAUAAUGUCUCCGAGUUGUUUUAUGGAACUAAGUACCCUACAACCAAUCUUUAUUUUCCAAAGAUUUGUGAGAUCAGGUUGUCGCUAACUCGGUUGCUUACCUCUAGACGUGAUGAAAUAAAAAAUAUGGCAAGAAGUAUGAUUGAGAAAUUUGAUAAAUAUUGGAGUGUGAUUCAUGGAAUAAUGGCUGUAGCUACUGUAUUGGAUCCAAGAUUCAAGAUGAGGCUGAUUGAGUAUUUCUUUCCGCUUAUGUAUGGGCAAUAUGCUUCGAAUGAAAUUGAUAAGAUUCGCAAAUAUUGUUAUGAUUUGAUAAAAGAGUGUGGAUCUAAUCAUAGUUCUAACAUGGGUCAUCAGCCAUCAUUCACUUCAUCUCAUUUGAAUCAAUCUGACUUUGAAGAGAUGAAUCCUUUAAUGGAUAACUUUGACUUGUUUGUUUCUAGUACUGUAAGUACUGAUAAUGAAAAGUCAGAAUUAGAUCACUAUUUGGAUGAGGCUGUUUUGCCUAGACAUCUGAUUUUGAUAUUUUGGGUUGGUGGAAAUCAAAUGGGACUAAAUAUCCUAUCUUAAGUGUUUUGGCAAGGGAUAUAUUAGCUAUUCCUAUAUCUACAGUUGCUUCUGAAUCAGCUUUCAGUACUAGUGGGAGAUUUGUAAGUCCACACCGUAGUAGACUUCAUCCAAAGACAUUGGAAGCCUUAAUGUGCGCCCAAAAUUGGUUGUGGAAAGAAAUUCAAGGUACUCCAAAGUAUUAAUUUAUUUUCAUCUUAUAUUUGUGCUGCUGUGCAUGUUCUUUAAUCUUAAUUUCGAACUUAUUUUUCAAACUUAAUUAAUUAGUAUGCAUUCAGUUUUUAGAACUAAUUUAAGUCUUCAAUUUCAUGUUUCACAACUAGCUUCUUGUUCUAAUGCACACGUUGGUUGUUGCACUUAUUUUGAAGAAAUGGAUAUGGAUGAGGUAAGUAUUGGCAAUUAUAUUAUAUGUAUAUAAAUAUCUUCUUUGUAGAUUAUAUGUGUACAACGAUUCAUAAUAAUUAUUUCGUCAUUUUCUUAAUAAUGUAGGAUUCAUGCUCCAUUGAUGGGUGUGAAGGAGGAGAUGCAGGAGCACCAUGAAAUAAUGAUGAUGGCAGCCUUGGCGGAACUAGAAGCAAAUUGCAUAUAUCUCGUUCUUUUGUCGUCAAUAUAUUAUUAUGUUUUUUGUAAUUGGAAGUCGGAUGAGUGGUUGGAUUCUUUACUGUUAGCAUAUAUUUUCAUCAUUUCAGCCUUUUUGCUGUGAAUUAUAUCUGGAUUUUGUUGCACUGUUUGGUCAGGUUUUGGGGGUUCCUUUAUUUGUUUCAUUCUCUGUCAUUUUCUUUCAUUUUGUUGAUGCAGCAUCUCUCUGUUCUGUGUAUUGUUCUUUGUUUUAAGGUCAGUUUUUUUUUUUGUUGGUUUUCAGUUCGUUGAUCUAUGACUCUAUGUUUAGAUUUUCGUUCGUGUAUGAUUAAAUGGAUAUAACCGAUAACCGAUUGAAAAUCCGUCACCCGGUGGAUAUGGUUAUGGAUAAUCCCCGAUUGGUUAUUUUACGGUUAUGGGUAUGGCUAAUUUUUGUGGUUAUGGGGAUGGAUAUUGCUUUUCCGUCCCCAAACCAAACCGUUGCCAUCCCUAGUAGAUUGUGACAGCCCGUCCCUAAUCUUAUGAGUUUUUAAAGUUUUAAUAAAGGAUUUUACAAAAUUGCCCCUUGAGGUACGCAUAUUUUUCGAGAUUAAUAGUCAUGUCGUGCCAUCUAAGAUUUGUUUUCUUGACAUAUCAUCGUAGUACUCGUCGUUACGGACGCGUGGGCGCAGACGGUUUGUGAUUUGGAGUUAUAUCGAAAAAGUUAUUGACGUUUGAAAUUUGGGAAUUUUAGGAAUUUUAAUUUUAGUAAAAUAUAGAAUUUCUUUUAUGAAAAUAGAUGGCCCAGAUUUAAUGAAGAAUUAAAUGGAUGGCUGGGAUGAGAGAAAGAAGAUUUUGUGUGUGUGUGUGUGCGUGAGAAGAAGAAGAAUCAGAGGAAAGAGAUUGGGCAGAAAUGCCCAAUCGGGAAAAAAGAGAAGAAUGGAUCAUGAGGGAGUGAGAGAGAGAGUUCAGCGAAUGGAGAGAAUAGAGAGAGAAAAAACGACCAAUCGGAACAUAUGACAGGAGGAAAUGAGGGAGAGAGUGGCGCGGGGGAUCGGCCGGAUCCCCCUUGGCCCAUUUUUGACCCGUCGGCAUCCAUGCCUAUUUUCGACGAUUUUCACCCGUUUUUCCGGCGAAUUGCUUCAAGAAACUUCAUAGGAAACACUCUAGGAGCCUUCCUCUAUCCAUUCCAUCUCAAAAUUGGAGAGAUUUGGCUUUGAAAAUGGAGAAAACCGCAAGGAGGGGUGCGGCGACUUUGGCUUCGAAUCACCCAAUCCCGAAGCAAUUUCUUUCAAUUGCCACCACCCAUAGCUUCCUCUUGAGGCCUAGAACAAAGCUCAAGCAUUGAUUGGAACGGCGGAGUUGAUUUGAAGACGAAUUGGAACUCACCCAAUUCUAGGGUUCUUCACGGUUUUGACGAAAUUGGAGCCUUUCCAGGCCAAAUUGGCCUUGGCCUUAGGUAUAAAGUUUACUCUAAUCGUUGGAUUUUCCGGCGAGCCGGGGAGGCCAACUGCCACCCGCGGCGGCCCAUGCGGCGGCACAUGGCCAGUGGCCUGCCAAUGUCAUUCUUAGCAUGUGUUUAAUGUUCUAGGUUCAGUUUUGAUAAUUGAUUGAUGUAAAUUGAGUAAUUGAACCUAAGUUAGUUACGAUCCGUGGUGAGGUGAAAAUGUGAAUUGACGAUUCGAUCGUCGGAUCGUCACCAAACUUUGAUACAUUGUAACACGUAAUAUUUGAGGAUUAUAGAAACUGACGGAUUGGGAAUCUGAUUUACGGAUCUUCCGGAAUUGGAGUUGUAAGUUCAUAAAAUAGAAUGUUAACUGUCACUUGGUUUUGACAAUUGGCGGAGAUCCGACCAUUGGAUGGUAAUGGAAUUUUAGGAUGUAGCUCUAGGGAUAUAUUGUGAAACUCUGGAAGUUAUGGAUUGGAAAUCUGAGUUGUAGAUCUUCCGGAUCGAUCUACAUAGUGACGUGUUUUAUAUAAGUUAUAUAUUCUAUCGAUAUGAUUUCUGAGGUUUGAUUUGAUGAUUGUUCUAGGCGCCGAUCGUCAUGAUGCCUUGAUGUAUUGUGCUAGGGAGUUGUAGGGCGAACUCCAGGUGAGUGGGCAGUAUUUUCUGUAUUUACCUAUAUACUACUGAAUUUCUCAGAAAUUGAAUUUAAAUGAAAGUUUAAAAUGCCAUGCAUGCAUAUUAUGAAUUAUAUGAAUUAGUAAUUGAUGCAUAUAUAUAUAUGUAAAUUGGUGUUGUGGACGCACAUGCGAGUAUCAGGUGAGUUUUAUGUUAUUUAUGUGAAUCAUUGAUGAUAUGAAUUGUGUUGAGAGCUCAUAACCUGCACCCCUGGUGUUAGUGCUUAUAGUAUUCACCGCACUGCACGCUCACCUUGGAUCCAAGUAGGUGCAUGUCGUACAGACCAUGAGAGGGUUCCGACAUGCUAGUCGUACAGACCACUAGAGGUGGUUCGGACUGGUAGGUGACCUUAGAUUAUGUGCACAGAUGAUUGAUGAGAGAAGCACUAGAGCGUAUUAUUACACCAUUCUUAUCAUACAGACUACUUUAGGUAGUUCCGAUUUAUGUGUAGAGUAGUGCCGUACAGGUCACAGUGGUGACUCCGGUUGGAUUGGAUAUUGAGCUAUAGAAUUAACCGAACAGGACCAACUGCAGGGUCUCCGGUUGAUUCCUUAUUCCACCUGUUAUAUUGAUACAUCUUUAGUAUGUUUUGAUGCAUAGCAUGUCAUAUUUUCUCGAAAAGUGUUAAAGACUUGUGAUUUGAGUUUUGAGAUUUUAUAUGGUUAUAUAUAUUAUAUUUUUUAGGAAAGUAUACAGGUUUUACAGCGAGGGGUUAGAAAUGUUUUAAAUAAAAUAUUUUCGAAAAACUUUGUUUUACUAACCCACUCAAUUUUGUUUUGCGCCCCUCCAGGUUCAAGUUAGCAGAGCUUUGGUGGCCACGAGGAAUCCAACGGUGUUCUGACAGAAUUCACAAAAGUAGGAUUCACCCCCGGGUGUUAUAUCUUAGUAAUUGUAUCUUUAAAGCUUCCGAACUGUGUAAAUGGUUACGUCACUCUCACAUGACGGCCAGCAUGCCCUCCUUCGGGACCGGGUGUGUCAAUAUGUCCCCUCACUCUUUCUUGUAAUUUUUUAUAAAGAGGGAUAAGGUGUAUGUCCUCCCUUUUUUUUUUCUAGUAAUUUGUUUUUCUUGUUUUAUAAGGGAUAAGUUUAUGUCUCCUUAACUAAGGGUAACCUUUUUUUUUUCAUAACAAUAAACUUUGCUCGUACUGCCGAGGUUUUUCAAUUCUUUCUUGUAAUAGCAAAGGAGACAACUUCACAUUUUAAAAGUAAAAUGAAAAAGGAUUUUUCCAUGCAAUAGGACAUUAUUACAAAAGUCGACCAUUUGUGUUUGCGUAGCCGUAAGCUACUACCAAACCAAGAAAUAGAAAAGGGCCAGUCAUUUUCUUAAGAUAACAUUAAUCUAUCUGAUCCAAGAAAGCCUUGAAAUUCUUGUUCGAAGACCCCCCUUCACUCACAGCCUCUCUUGCCAAAUCUUUCCAUUUCUUAGCAUUCCUUCUCAUCUCUUCACCAAUCUCCCCACUUCCCAUGACCAACUCCAAACACCUCUUGAACUCCUCACCCGUAACAAUCCCCUCCUCAUUUUGUGUCACCCUCAAUCCUGUCUUCCAAGUGUCUUCUAUCAACUUGGCAUUCGUCCCUUGGUCCGUCCACUGAGGAAACGCCACGACAGGCACCCCCGAAACCAGGCUCUCCAAACUUGAAUUCCACCCACAAUGUGUCACAAAGCAACCCAACGAAGGACUCGAGAGAACCGCCACUUGACUACACCAUGGCACUAUCCUCCCGAGCUCUUCUAAUUCCUCUCUGCAACUCAACAUCUCUUCUUCUUUCUUCGCCUCGUUAUCGUCUCCCUUCUUCUCGACUUUAUCUCUAAUAACCCACAAGUACGGACGGCCACAAUCCAACAACGCCUUCGCGAUUUCCUCCAUUUGGGCCUUUUCCAACACAGAAAUGCUUCCGAAGGAUACAUAAAUCACCGACCCUUCCGGCUUCGAGUUCAGCCACUCGAGGUACGAAGAGUCCUUUGAUUUUUGGAAAAGAUCGCCUCCAAAUGACUUGUCCGAUGGAACCUUGCUGUCCAAGGAAGCAGACCGAAUCAGUGGCCCGAUUCCAAUCAAAUUGUACUUGUCAAUUGCUUUUAAGGCUUCUGGCUCUAGCGCAUCGAACGUGUUCACUAGAAUGGUCGGAUUGGUUUCUCUCUCCAGCAGAUCCAUCUGUUCUUGAAACAACGGGAGGGCGAAAUUGUACGGAUUUGUAUCCACCAUGAAGGAGGGAAGGUCUCGGCUUGUGAGAGAUAAUGGCAAACCUGGUAAUUCUAUUGAACAUGGAAGGACAUCGUUCGUACCAGAACUAGUAUUAUCCCGGAUGAGAUCUUUGUACCCGUUAAAGUAAUAGUAGUAGAUGUCGAAAACUGUGGCUGGUUGAAUCCAAAGCAGUACGUUUUGGAGGUGAAGUUCAUACGCCACGUCCGCCGCCCAAGGGAGAAAUGUUGUGUAGACUAGGCAAGUGUAAGGGUGACCCUCGUUUGCACUUGAGACUACAAGGUCGGUGAUGGCUUGUGCUCCGCGGCGCCGCAGCUCCAAUGCGUAGUGGUCGUUGUUGUUGGUACGAUUAAACCCGUCGUCGUACCCAUCAGAGAAGAGUGAGUAGGUCAAUCCAUCUGGAAUUGAGUCAUUGCCUAUGCGGUGACGGGCGGAAAGGCAGGUAACGAAGGUGACAUGGGCGCCGGUAGUGUUGAUAAGACGCUUGGCGAAUUGGAGGGACGGGUUGAUGUGGCCUUGUGCCGGGAAUGUGACAAGUAGAAAGCGGUGUUGCACCAUGGCGGCGUAUGCGAUUGCGGAGUUGCGCGGUGGAGCGUGGAGGUGUUGGAAGUAGAAUAAGUAGGUACGUAAUUGAUUGGUAGAAUAUUUGUUUCUGUGGGCUUAUUAGCUGAGUGAAAUUGAAAUUCUUGUGGGAAUAUACAUUCAAGGUGGGGAGUGUGUUGAGAGGAUGUCAAGGCUUAAAUAGGGGUUUGGGGGUAGAAAGGUGACGUUUGUCGUGACGCAUUGAAGACGCUGGAGACGAAGCAAAGAUGAGAAGAAUACUUGUGUUUUGUGGUCUUCUCGAUCAUGCAUAAUAUUAUGAGUAAUACUAGGGAGGUCAUCUAUACUUAAAUAAAAUACUAUAUUUAUCACAUAUUUGUGUAUUGUAUCAUUAUUUGUAUCAUCUUUCUAAUAGAGAUAAGACCAGACCAAGUGGCCCUACAUCUAUUGAAGAGAUGAUACAAAUAUGUGAUAUGUGUAGAAAUCAUAAAUUUUAUAUCAUACGACGUGGCUAUUAAUGACACAUCACAUGAUUUACAAAUUUAAUGUAAAAAGUUAGUAUCCCUAACUUACUCUUUUCAAAUUCGCUUCAUCAAGUUUCUUAGCACAUCACGUGGACUAAAUCCAGUUUGAUGUGGUCAGAUAGACAAAUUAAGUCAUCGCCACAAAACUAAUCAAUACACAUGCGAGUGUUUGAUUUGUCUAGGUUAAUUAACUAUUGAUUCGAUCUGAUUUGUCUAGUUUAAUUAAUUAUUCAAGGCCGAGUGUUUGAGGCCAUGAAUAAUUGAGUUCGAACUAAACAGCCUAUACGGUUCAUCGUAGAUGUGAGCAACUCCACCUUGAGGGCUUGUCCUCAAUACUAGGAAAAAAGAAAACUAAGAACCAAGACACAAUCUGAUGGUGGCACGGUCCUUCACUCUAAAACUAAAGAACUAAAACUAAAAUAAGGGACUUGGAUCCUCUCCUAAGCUAGUGAAGAGGAUCCUCCUGACCAAGUGUUAUGGGCCGUUGGAUUUUCAUCUAACGGCUAUAAUUAUUAUAACUUUAAAAGGACCCACCUGUUUGUAGCCGUUGGAUAAAAAUUCAACAGCCCACAACACUUGGUCAGGAGGAUCCUCUCCAUUAGCUCAGGAGAGGAUCCAAAUCCUAAAAGAAGGACCAAAUUGUUUUCUCGUGGUCCUAAGCCGAAAGAAGGUAUGUUGAAAUAUCUAUCAUCGAUAGAAUAAGAAAAAAAGAGUUUAAAUAUCUUAAUUUCAUUCCAACUAAUAUCGAAAUCUUUUAUGAUAAAAACUUCACACCUGUCGAACUGUGUAAAGUAAUAAUUUAAAAAUGAAGACAAUAUCGAUAUUAUUGGAAGUACAUUUUUCGCAUGUAACAAGGCAAACACAUAUAUGCUCCAUGUGUCAUAAUUUAGUUCGAUAUGACCAGUAAAAAAAUAAGCAACCAUAUAGUUUUGGUGAAAUGGAAUAUGAAAUGGGCCCUACCGCGGGACUAAGACUCCUAAUCCUGCUACUAAUAAACACACAUAUGCUCCAUGUGUCGUAAUUUAGUUCGAUAUGACCCGUAAAAAAAAUAGGCAACCAUAUAGUUUUGGUGAAAUGGAAUAUGAAAUGGGCCCUACCACGGGACUAAGACUCCUAAUCAUGCUAAGAUUAUUUUAAAAGGAAAACUAAUGAAAAAUGCUUGAAAACUUUAAGUUUUAAUGAUAAGGACAAAAUAAAAGAUAAAGUGAAUAGUACUAGAAUUGAUUUUUUAGUGUAAAAAUAUGAUUUUUUGUUAAAGUGAGCAGUACAGGUGCUUUUCGUUAAAGUUCCCUAUUUUAAAUUCCUAAUCCUGCUAAGAUUCCUAGUCAAACUAAACUUCCCUAAUUAAGCUAGAUGGUUGUAGUAGUCUUCACUCAUGCAUGCAUGAUGAGUGCAAAAAUUCGCUUUCUAUUUCUAUUAAAUUAAGUGAAUAGCACAUAACAUGGACUAGUAGGUUUGACGUGGUAAGAGAGAUGAGCGAAUUUAGUGAGCACAAACCUGAUUAAUACACAUACAAAUUUGUGAUUUGUCUAGUUAGGGGCCUAAGGGCUAGGGGGCCGUUUAUCAUAUGCCAAAUUUGAUUGGUCUUGUUAAAUUUCAAGUAGACGGGUCAUGGGCCCACUCCAACAACAUCGAUAUUGUCCUUACUAGGCCACCCGCUCAAUCCGUCAGGUGUGGGGUUUUAAUACAAAAGACCUCGAUAUUAGUUAGAGUGGGGUAAUUUUAUUUAAAGGGCUUGUUCUCAAGCCUUCUGACCGAUGUGAGACAGAGGAAUUAUAACACUCCCCUGCACGUGAGACCCCAUUUUAUGGGUCACACAUGAAGUUCCACACAUCGGCAACCACGUGGAGCCAAGUCGGGGCUCACCCGUUCGUGCGAGGCCAAUGGGGACCCACCCAUUCAUGUUGCAUCUCUUGGCCUAUGUGGAGCCAAGUUGGGGCUCACCCGUUCACGCGGGGUCAAAGAGGACCCACCCGUUCACGUGGAUGUACGGGCCCAUCCCCUGGCUCUGAUACCAUCUUAAAUUUCAGGUAGACGGGUUAUAGGCCCACUCCAACAACACCGAUAUUGUCCCCACCAUGUCAAAUUUCAGAUAAAUGGGCCAUGGGCCCACUCCAACAACACUGAUCUUGUCCCCACUUAGCCACAUACUCAAUCUAUCAAGUGUGGGGUUUUAAUAUAAAAGGCAUCGGUAUUAGUUAGAGUGAGGUAAUUCUAUUUAAAGGGCUUGUUCUCAAGCUUUCUGGCCGAUGUGGGACAGAGGAAUUCUAAUAGGUCUAGCUGCAUCACACUAAAAUUGAUUGGUCUAGCUUUAUGAUACUAACUUUCCUUUAUCAACAAUGAUCAUUAGACACACAAAAUUAACCAUAUUGAUGACGUAUUUUAUAGUAGAGGCAAGUGUGCCAAAAAGUAAAAAAGUGUGGCAUGACCAUUGUCACCCUUUUAGUAAUAGCUACCUUAGCAACGUCACUCUUGCUCUGUGGUUAUUGCCCUCUUUUCUCGUAUUGGCCUAUGUUAAAGAGAAUAUAUCGACUAUGUGACCAAUUUUGUGUCCUAAAUAGUGUUACUGGGUCUUUAUUGUUAAAGCUAUUUUUGUUAAACAAAUUUGACAUUCAUCUAUUUCUUUUUCGUUUUGAAUAAGCAAUGUCCUACACUGUUAUAUUGUUAGGUUUUAUUGACCCUAAAAAUUACAAGAUGUACAUGGCGCGCAGGCCGAACAACUAAUGAGUUAACUACGUCCUUCUUAUGAAUGCAGGCUUACCAACUCACGACCGAGACUAAUUGGGUGAGUAAAAUAGAUGUGGUGGUGGUGUUGAAUGCAUUGCUGACUGCUACGCUUAAGCAACUACGACCGAGGAAAUAACGCCUCUCAGCCUAGGGUUCUAGACCCUGAAGACAAGGUUACUUAAUUCAUUGAGAAGUUCAGCAUCUUCUCACCAAAUUCGAUACCUACAACUAUAUUCGUGAGAGUAUAACUACGCUGAAUCGGUAUCAAGCUGUAAAGACAAAUAUACUCAAAAGAAACGAGUGUCUUUAUGGUGAAUGUUGUUUGGUUGUCGGAAUGACGAACUCUGAAAUGUACUUGCGAGUAACCAAUCAUAGACACCUCACUUCGCUGGGGAAGCUAAUGAAGUGGCAUCUUUCGGUGAAGGAAUCAAAGAUUCUUCAUCGGCUGAGACUUAGAUAGGUAACCAACCGAACUAGAAGUAGUGAUAUUUAAACAAACUGAAGGUAUUCCUAGGUCGACUAGUCCUACGACUCCAGUAAUGUCCACCCGAACUGAAUAUGUUGUCAGUUUGCGAACCCAAUGAUGUUCGAUUUGCCAACCAAUGAUGUUCCAACGAAAUGAAUAUAUGCAGAUAGAGGGGUUAGAAUAAUUAGUAUUUUUUUUUCAAGUUGUGACAAGGAUUUCAUGUAUUGUUGGAAUUUAGGAUUAUUUUAUUGUUUGAAUUUGGGCGUAGCCAAUUAGUAUUAGGGUUUCGUUUUCUUGCUUAUUAGGGUUAGGUUAGUUCUCUAUAUGUAUGAUGCUUUAUAGCUCGUAGAAUAAGUAAUUCACAAUGUAGUAUCUUGGAGUUUUGUAGCUAUUUUGGCAUUCUCCUUUCUUUAAUAAUAUUCUUAUUAUUUUGUAAUCUUGUUUGUUGAGCACUCUGAUAUUCAACUUGGUAUCAGAGCAGGUUUGAUCAUUCGGGGUAUCCAUGUUGUUUGUUUGAUAUUAGUUUUCAGUAUUCGUUUUGAAAAGAAAAAAAAAUUUGAAUAUGUUUGCUCGAAACCAUUCCCAGAUCCGUACAUACCUGAAGCCCUGAACCGUACCCGCAAUCGUUUCCUCAUCAGAUCACCACCACGCUACCACUAGAACCACCUGCUACAAAUCCGACUGAAUCUGCACCUCGCCUGCUUGAAACAUCGCGCCACCAUUUUCUUGAACCCAUUGCUGUAUUCUCUAUCUUUUGUAUCCACCGCCGCUGAACCUUCUGUUGUCCACCGCUGUGCUUGUUCCGAUUCCUUUCCCAACGAUUUGAUCACCUGCACCAUGAUCAGACGAAUUCAUCACCAUCCACCCAUGUUGCCGCUGCAAUCAAGAACUCUGCUGAUCCGUAUUCAUACCAUCACCCAAAUUCAACUAACCCAAGAUUGCAUGCCCGCUGCUCAUCACAUCCUUGUUGCACUGCUGCUCGACCCUGUACUCCGCUUCCGUCGUGAACCCACUAAGCCACCGCGACAAUAGAAUCCCAUCGCCACUGCACUUGCAUCAACCCCAUCUGCACACUGCCUCUGUAACUAGAAACCUAGCACAUUUGCCAUUUGAAUGGAUUGUUUGUUUGUUUGCUUGAAUCGCUUGCCUUGUCGUGUCCGCCUAAUGGAGCUUACCUUGUCGUGUCCGUCUAACGGAGCUUGUCUUGUCUUGUCCACCUAACGGAGCUUGCAUCCGCAUCUGCUUGUUGGCAAACUCAUUACGUGUAUCGCCAUGAGUUUGACGGGGGGUGUUGGAAUUUAGGAUUAUUUUAUUGUUUGAAUUUGGGCUUAGCCAGUUAGUAUUAGGGUUUCGUUUUCUUGCUUAUUAGGGUUAGGUUAGCUCUCUAUAUAUAUAAUGCUUUGUAGCUCAUAGAAUAAGUCAUUCACAAUGUAGCAUCUUGGAGUUUUGUAGCCGUUUUGGCAUUCUCGUUUCUUUAAUAAUAUUCUUAUUAUUUUGUAAUCAUGUUCGUUACACACUCUGAUAUUCAACUCGUAUAGUGUUUGAGUUGUUUUGACUUAAAGGGGGUUUUUCACGUUGUAGAACCUCUUGUAUUUAUAGGACGACAAUACUUUGGUUGAUAGGUUCCAAAACCAAUUCAAACUGCAGCACGCUCUUUGAGCUUUAUCCCAUUUUACUUGCUAGUUAUAUCCGAUGCUUAAGUCUAGUCUAGCUAACAUCUCAUGAGAAACAACUCUAAUUUGGGGCCAUGUGCAUGAUGAAGGCCUACUUCCCUCCUAAGAUGGGACUCUAUCAUUAGUUACAAGGACGAUAGAGUUCCAAACCUAUCCACAUAAGUUAUAAAUCCCAAACCUAUUGGAUGUGCUGCUCACCGUGCCCAUCUUAACAAUCAUAUCUUCUUUUAAUUUGUAGAAUGGGAAAGCAAUCACACUGCCCAUAAUCUUCAAAUGCAGCAUGUGCUUCAAAAGAGUCCAUCAACUACUGAAGCUUUAUUUUUGCUCCUAUUCCAUCGUCAGACCGCGGUACACUAAAUGAUAGGAUGAGACAAACCUGUAGUUGUGUUGAAGGAGUCUGUCAGCUUUGCUUUUGUUGCUGUCAAAAUAUUUUUAAUAAACGCUUCAAGAUAAUUAUUUUGAUGAAAAUCAACGAUAAUAUCUUAAAGAAGUUAAAUUAAAAUCUCUUAAAUCUCUCUCAUACGGCCGAAGUUUUCAGAAAUAAAAAAAAGUUAAUUAACAUCUCUUUAUUCUUAGAGCUAUCAAACAAUCUAAAAUUUUGUUCAUUCAACAACCUUAAUUGUACCAGACCGAUAGUUUAAUAGUGGGUCCAACCUUGUUUACUCUAAAAGACAGAAUGAAACUGUGAAUAGCAUGAGUGCCUCGCAACCGGUUUACCAUCGACCACAAGUAAUCAUUUGCAUUUCUUAGGAUGCUAAAACAAACAAGAAUAAAACCAAAAUAUAAAUCAGAUGGCAACGUCAUACUGCAUGGUUGCCUCUUGGUGUAUAAGCCAAACUACAGAGAAAAUAUUGGAAUGUUCUCUAUUCUCGAACAUAUAAAAAAACGUCAUCCAUGACGAUAUCUUAAAAAUCAGAUUGCAACCAAAAUUUAAAUAAUGUCUUUUAGCUUGUCUUCUGAUUGCGUAUCACGAAAAAACAUUACACCUCACAGCAAAUGAAAUUUUAGCACGUGUGUAUUCAUUCUGAAUAACGCCAUAAGAGUUCAAAGUUUAAAUGAGGGAUUCAACCAGGUUGUGCAAGACAAGAAAUCUUCUGUAUUUAUUUUGUGUGUAGCUUUUUUUAUAGUUUUUAUUCUUGAUCGAUUGACACAUGUUAAAAAGUUUAAUCUUUCUUAACUUUAUUGUCUUAAAUUUAACAUGUAUUAUUUAAUAAUAGAGAUCAUAGACAGACCAGACACAAAAUAAAUGUAGAAGAUUUGUUCUCGUUGAGGAGCUAAGCACUCAAGAUUAUCUAAAGGGAUGACGGAAGGAAAAAUAGUUAGAAUUAGGACAAGUAAAUGGUGCAGUUUUUCCAAUGUGGUAAAAAAAUACAAAAAUGGUUACGAUUAUAAUAGAUAAAUAGUUUGUUGACCAUUUGCAUGCGUAAACAGUUGAUCCUGAAACAUCUCAACAAUUAAAUCUAGAGAACUUUAACAAAAAGUUCCUGCUACUGUUUAUUUUAACGAAAAAUCACAUUUUUACACUAAAAAGUUAAUCAUGGUACUAUUCACUUUACCCUUUAUUUUGUCAUUAUCUUUAAAACUCAAAGCUUUCAAGCCUUUUUCAUUAGUUUUCCUUUAAAUCUAAGCUGAAGAGGUAGAUGUUGUGGGUCUUCAUCAGUCCAUUAGCAAGGUCAAUGCGUCCGUUGGCAAGGUCAGUGCGCCUACUGGCCAAGUCCAAUGGCAUACAUGCCUAAUGCCUUCUUGGUAUCUAUGAUUAUAUUGAAAUAGAUAAUCAUCUAAAUUAAAGAUAUAUAGAGGUAGAGGGUACUGAUUCUUCAUUUUGAAUGAAUUAGAAGGGGAUCAGACAUAAAGGAAAAUUCUUUCUUUUAAUCCUACUACAUUUUUAGAAACGAUUGAAAUGAAUAAGCUUUUCUUCUCGAGCAAUUCAUCUCUUACUUUCAAAUUUGUCACAUAUUUUUCAUUUAUUCAUUCAGCUUACCUUAAAAAUGAUAACUUAUGUAUUCCAAUUCAUUUCUCUGUACCAAACAAGGCUAUAGUUCUCAACUUAAGAAAUGCUUAGGGUCGACUCUCUCAAAGUAGGACUCUCAUAUAUUUUUUGUCACCUCACUGUAACGUCAAUUUCUAUACCAACAUUAUAAUACUAUGCUAAAAGCAUAAAAUGACAGAGAGUCUAUGAAAAAUCUCACGAGUCUCUUUAGCAUUUGUGAUAGUAACUUAUUAAACCAUUAAGAUUACUGUUGUCUCUUUAGCAUUUUUGACUACUGUCAGUUCUUCCCUUUACCUCGGUGGACACUCAAAAUACUUUUUCUUUUAGGAUAACUAAUAAAAAUGAUUUGAAAACUUUGAGUUUUAACGAGAAUGAUAAAAUAAAGGGUAAAGUGAAUAGUAUCAAGAUUAACUUUUUAGUAUAAAAAUAUGAUUUUUCGUUAAAAUGAAUAGUACCAUGAGCUUUUCAUUAAAAUUCUCUUUUGUUUUUGGGGCAAAGUGGACACCCAAUUAAAUCCAAGUAUGUGACUAGAGCAAAGUUCCUGUGGUAUUUUUCUCAACAAGGCCUUUGGUUUCUUGUGUAAGAGAGAGGCUGUAGACAGAUGGAUGUCUCCUUCCGUUUCUUUUGAGAGCACUAUUUGAUGCCACUAAUUAUCCAUUGAGGCUCCUUUUUGGAUAAAAUGUCUGGCCCCAGUAGGAUGAGAAUCUUUUCCGAGUUUUUUUGUGAAGGUUAUAGGAAUCCUCAAAUCAUAUUCGUUUAUCAUAUAUUAUGCGAUAAAAAAUUAUUUUAAAUAUUUUUAUUUAAAAUUAAACAUGAACAGUAUUUGAAGAAAACUGACCACACAAUAUACGAUGAAUAUACAUAAUUUGAGGAUCCCAGGAUCCUUACAAAGGCGAUCCGGAGAAGAUCCUCAUUCGCCCCAAUUAUCCAAUUUGAUAAAAGUUGACAGAAUUUAACAUUUAAGAUCAGUUGAAGGAGAAAUUUUUGUUAAUAUUUUAAGUGUCAUAAUAUAAGUAGUUGGAAAAAAAAAAUUUCAAAUAUUCAACCAGUAUCCAACCACAUCUAUUAUGACAGUGAGUAUAUAUCAAAUUGGAUACUGGUUGAAGGCUGGAACAUUGUCAGUUUUGUACUAGCUGAAGUUCCCAGACUCGGGUUUUAUUGAGAUUGCAAAUGCAAUUUUUUUCUGAUUUUGUUAUCGUCUUGAGACUUGUCCAUAUACAAUUAUCUUUGGACGUUUUCUCUUAUAUGUUUCUCGAUAUCCCUGGUACAUGAAGGUUUCCAAUCCAUAAUAUACUUUGGUGGCUGAGAUUUUAGGGUUCCAACCUUUCCUUGUUAUUUUAAAAAACAGGCGUUGCGUCCACUUCAAGGGUGUAACAUUUUAUUCACUCAGCGUAAUUCAAUCACCGUAAAUAUGUCAUGAUUUGAACUGUUCAAUAUUUUAAUUAUGAUUUAAGAUAUCUUAUGAUGUUGGUACCAAUUACUAUUUCAGUUUUGUUUCACUUUGUUAUCUAAAAAAGUUCAUGCUUUGAGGAACAAAAAUUCAUUUUCGAUUUUAAUCAAAAUAAUCUUGGAAAUGUAGAACAAUCAUGCUUUGAGGAACAAAAAUUCAUUUUCGAUUUUAAUCAAAAUAAUCUUGGAAAUGUAGAACAAUUUAGCUUAUGGGCUUUACAAACGUGUUUUAACAAAAUAAUCUUGGGAAGUUUUUUUAUUAUUACAAAUCAUAAUUUUUAUACACAAAAAAUGGACAAAUGAGUACCACAAUAAUCUAGAGAAUUAGAAUAAUAUCUUAUAUGUUGUGGUCUAUAUUUAAUUGACAAGGGAAGGGAGCCGGCGGCACAUAGAGACAAUAGAAAUAGAUGUAUUUGUAGGAUUGUGUAGAAGAAUGUGUGUGUUAUUCUCCCUACGCAAUGCCUUUAUUUAUAGUAAUAAGAGAGAGAAGAAAUCCUUCUCCUCCAAGAAAUACAAGUCCUAAUAGGGAAGAAUAAUAAGAAUCAAAUCUAAUAUAGGAUUUACACAAUCACACUUAAAUAAGAAGUUUAUAACACUCCCCCUUGAGUGUAUAAAUGCUCAAGUAGAUUCGGCAUCAUGUAGAGCUUGAGGAAGUCGACUCGUCGGCACUGAUUCUUGGAACAUGUUGUUCUCAAUAAGGUAGGAACUUGCAUAAGUAAGUAAGUCUCACAAAAAACCCUAAGGCUAUAGUAAAAACCCAUAGGGACAAAAUCCAUAGUCUAAGGAAAAAUGCGUGAGUAAUGCAAAGUUAAAUGAAACAUCUACGGGCAGUGGCGGAUCCAGGAAAUAAUGUUUGUGGGGUCAUAGCGCGUGCAGCGCGAAAUUUUUUUUUAGCCUCGUUUGGUAUUUCGGACUGUACUGACUAUUUCAGUCGGAUAGGAUAAAUAGUCGUCGGAUAGUACUAACUACAUUAGUCGGGCGUUUGGUGCAGUGUCGAAUUAAUCUGUGCAUUGAACAAUACUAAAUUUUUUUAAUAAUUUUUAACAAAAUAAUUGGUGUUAAAAUGAAAAAACUCACAAUAUAAACAAAUCAUCAAUAUAAUCAAAAUAAAUAUGAAUUGAAUUUCAAUUAAAUUAAAUAUAUUCUACAUAUACAAAAUAUUCAAAAUAAAUACUCACAAUAUAAACAAACCAUCAACAUAAUCAAAAUAAAUAUGAAUUGGAUUUCAAUUAAAUUAAAUAUCUCAUCUUGCAUUCUACAUAUAAAAAAUAAUGAAAAUAAAAACUCACAAUAUAAACAAAUCAUCAAUAUAAUCAAAAUAAAUAUGAAUUGAAUUUCAAUUAAAUUAAAUAUAUUCUACAUAUACAAAAUAUUCAAAAUAAAUACUCACAAUAUAAACAAACCACCAACAUAAUCAAAAUAAAUAUGAAUUAGGGUUGGAGGAGGAGGAGAAAACAAAAGAAAUUUGGGGGUUUUAGAAAGAAGGGAUUCGGAUCUGUGCAAAAUAGGGCUGAUAGGACACACUGGGUAUUUUUUUGUUUGUUCAGACCUGCCCAGGACACGCUGGGCAUUUGUUUUUUGUUCAGACCUGGCCCAAAACGACGUCGUUUUGGCCAGGUCAUUUAAAAAAAUUUCCUGGGCCAAAACGACGCCGUUUUGCUCGUAUGUUUUGAAAAAAAAGAAGCGCGCAGCUUCUUCUUCCUCUUCCUGCAGUGCCGAGCUUCGUUCAGGAUUUUUGUCGAACACUUGGCGUGCGACUCCGACCCCGACGACCCCGACGACCCCAGCUCCAAGAGGUCGCGUAUGGGAGCUUCAAGGUUGUUUCCAUGGUUUCCAAGGGGUCGUGCGACCCCGACGACCCCACUGUGGAUCCGCCCCUGUCUACGGGAUGUCAUCAGAGAUAUGAUCAACGCAAGGUGGGUGCCUCGUCAAAACCUCAUUAGGUAGCAAAAACCCUAUGGGAAAAAUGCUCCUAAUCAUAGGGAAAAAGAGUACAUUAAGAUUAAGUAAGUAUACUUCAAGAUACUCCCCUUGAGUUUGACACAAUUCCAAAGAGAAUUAGCAAUGUUACAACUCAGAAAGUUUACGCAUACCAAUUCCUUGAACAAGCUUCUGAAAUGUCACAUUCGGUUGUGAUUUGGUGAAGAGGUUGGCUAGAUUGUCUUGUGAACGGAUUUGUGUGACUUCAAUCUUCUGAUGCUCUUGCUGUUGAUGUGAGAAGAAGAACUUAGGCGCAAUAUGCUUGGUGUUGUCUCUUUUGAUGUAACGCUUCUUGAGCUGUUCGAUGCAUGCUGCGUUGUUUUCAUAGAUCGUCGUCUAGACAUCAAUGACAGGGUAAAGAUCGCAGGAGCUUCGAAUAUAGCCCACAACUGCUCUCAACCAAAAGCAUUCCCGAUUUGCUUCGUGUAAGGCGAGAAUUUCAGCAUGGUUAGACGAAGUGGCAACUAAGGUCUGUUUAGUUUACCUCUAAGAGAUUGUGGUGCCUCCAACGGAAAAGACAUAGCCCGUUUAAGAAUGCGCAUUUUGCAGAUCAAAUAAGUAUCCUGCGUCGGUAUAACCAACAAGGCGAGAAUCGACUCGAGAUAAGGGGGUGAGGCAUCAUUCAAGGAUCUAUAGGGAUAUAAUAAAUUCAGAUAUGUAGUACGUUUAAGGUAGCGGAAAAUCUCUUUAACACUAGUCUAGUGUCUACAUGUUGGUACAUUAGUGUAUCUUGCCAAAAAAUUAACAGCAAAAGAGAUGUCGAGUCUAGUGCAUUGAUCUAAGUACAAUAAAGCGCCUAUUGCAUUUAAAUAAGGAACUUCAGGCUCCAAAAUCUUUUCAUCAUCCCCUUUCAGACAUAAGGGAUCUCGUUUUGCAUUUAGCGAUCGAACGACCAUAGAAGUACUCAAAGGCUUCGCUUUAUCCUUGUUAAAGCGGCGCAACACCUUCUGGGUGUAGCUCGAUUUAUGUACUAAAAUUCCACCCAAACGGUGCUCUAUCUCGAGACCGAGACAGUAUCGAGUAUUUCCUAGAUCUUUCACCUCAAAUUCCGACUUCAGGUGCGCAACAGUUCUCGCUAGCUCUUCAAGAGUUCCAAUGAGAUUCAUGUCAUCGACAUAUACUGCAAUUAUCGCAAAAUCGGGAUGUGACUUCUUAAUGAACACACAAAGGUAUAAUUCGUUGUUCACAUAUCCUUGACUAGUCAAACACUCACUCAAACGUUUAUACCACAUUUUUCCGGAUUGCUUCAAACCAUAGAGUGAACGCCUCAGCUAAAUUGAGAGCGUGUUUCGAGGUUUGGAAAUAUUUGAUCCAGUCAAUGUAAGUCAUUCGGGAACUUUCAUAUAAAUUUUCAUAUCAAGAUCCCAAAAGAGAUACGCAGUUACUACAUCCAUCAGAUGUAUACUCAGUUUUUCGGAAACUCCCAAACUGAUAAAGUAGUGAAAAGUAAUCACAUCUAUAACGGGUGAAUAAGUUUCGUCAUAGUUAAUCUUAGAGCGUUGUGAGAAGCCUUGCGCAACAAGACGAGCUUUGUAACGUAUAAUUUUGUUCUUGUCAUUAUUCUUCCGAACAAAAACCCACUUGUAGCCAAUGAGCUUCAUAUGUGGAGGAGUAGGAGCUACAGGUCCAAACACCUUACGUUUUGCAAGCGAAUCGAGUUCGACUUGGAUUGCUUGUUUUCAGUUUGACCAAUCGGUUCUACAUCGACAUUCAUCAACAGAACAAGGUUCAAUGUCAUUGCUCAACAUGAUCUUAAUAGCUACUACAUAUACUAAUGUAUCGUCGACGAUCAUCUCAUUUCUACACCAAACAUCAUCCAAGCUGGCAUAACGGAGUGAAAUCUCAUGAUUCUCAGGAGGUGGAUUCGUUUUUUCAAGGACGCUUCCCUAAUCUAGAAUUUCCUCGUAAGUUGGAUAAAAUGAGUAGGCGACAGUUGGAUUCACGGUAAGUUCUUCAGGUCCAUGUGCCUUAGGUUUCCUUUUCCAGGGGUGUGAAUCCUUUGAACCAAAUGGUCUACCAUGCUUUUGUGUAGGGGUAGAUGAUUGGCUAGCCAUUAAUGUACUUUUGGUACAUCCAUCUUUGCAAGCACAUUUGCAGUUGGAAUAUGUGAUCUUGUCACUCGCGCUAGAUCGGUGAAAGCAUCUGGCAUGCUUUGAGCUAUGCUCUGGAGAUCUAAUAUGUGUUGCACUUCAGUCUGAGAUUGAGUGGUGCAGAGAUUUAAAUGAGACAAAGUGGGAGUCGUCCAUAACAAUUCGCGUCAUUUUUCAGGAACGUUGACGUUCUUAUCUCCCCCUAAUGACGGGAAUACUAUCUCAUAGAAGUGACAAUCCGCAAAACGAGCGGUAAACAGAUUGUCUGUCAAAGGUUCUAAGUAAUGAAUAAUCGAAUGAGAAUCAUAUCCGAUAUAGAUUCCCAUUAUUCGUUGAGGCUCCAUUUUUGUACGUAAGGGUGACGAAAUCGGCACAUAGACCACACAACAAAAAACACGCAAAUGUGAUAUGUCAUGUUCGUAUCUGAUAACCAACUGAAAUACGCUAUAUGGCUGGGUCAUAACAGGCCUCAGGCGAACCAACAUGGUUGUGUGCAAUAUUGCAUGGCCCCAAGCAGCGAUCGGGAACUUAGUACGUAUGACCCACGAUCGAGCAAUCAUUUGUAAACGCUUAAUGAAUGCCUCUGCCAAGCCGUUCUAGGUGUGAACAUGGGGUACUGGAUGUUCAACUUCAACCCCAACCAACAUGUAAUAGUUAUCAAAAUUUUUAGAUGUGAAUUCUUCAGUAUUAUCAAAUCGAAUUGAUUUGAUCAAAUAAUCAGGGUGGUAAGCCCCGAGCUUGAUAACCUAAGCCAACAGUUGGGAGAAUGCAGCGUUCCUUGUAGACAACAAGCACACGUGUGACCAACGUGUGGAAACGCCAACCAAAAUCAUAAAAUAUCUAAAUGGUCUGUAUGGAGGGCGAAUCGGUCCACAAAUGUCCUCCUAAAUCCUUUGUAGAAAAUAGGAAGAUUUAAACAAUUUUGUCAUAAGAAGGCUUAAUAAUAAGCUUUCCCAUAGAAUAGGUUUGACAUGCGAUUCCUUGAAUCGAACCUAAACGUUGGGUUAGUAUAUGCCCGUGUGAUGAUUUGAGGAUAUGGCACAUCACUAUUCGUCUAGGGUGUCCCAAACGAUCAUGUCAAAGUGUAAUUUCGUGUGCGGUCCCAGAGAUAGGAUCGGUCACAUAGUGGCUUUCUAUAGGGCGUAUAAUCGUAGUAUACAAACCACUUGGGAUACGCUCCAUCUUCUCUAGAAUAUGCUUCUGACCAUAUUCGUAAGAAGUUAUGCACAGAAAUUCAACUCUGUUUUCUACAUAGGUUUCAGCGUGGUAAUUAUUAUCUCUAAUGUCCUUGAAACUCAACAACUUUCUUCCGGAACGUGGAGAAUAGAGUGCCUCAUCAAUGGUCAAAAUUGUACCAUUGGACAACAUUAUACGUGCCUUACUGUAUCCUUUGAUCAGGUUGGUUGGGCCUGAGAUGGUUGUCAGAGGUGCAUUCUUAGAGCAAGUCCACCCCUAAGGACUUUGCGUCAGCACCCAACGCAUUUAUCCACUCAAGUGAACAGUAAUAUACUGGAGUGAACAGUAAUAUACUAGAGUGAACAGUAAUAGGCCAAGGCAUCUCCACCCCUAAAAAAAUGCGCUGGCACCCAGCGCAUUUAUUUGGUGUGUUUUUUUUUUUUUUUAAGUUUAUUUUAGAUAAGAUUUUUAACCAACUUCAGAUAAAAUUUCAAAUAAACUUAAAAAAAAAUACACACUAAAAUAAAAUUACAUACUCAUCAAAUAAACUAUAAAAAAAACACACUAAAAUGAAAUUACAUAAACUCAUCAAAUACACUUUAUUCUUCAACCACAAGUUUUUUGGUAUUUUUUUUUCACACAAAAAGUAUAUGAAAACUUUGGUAGAAAGUGUAGAAAAUAUUGAAAUAUGGUGUAAGGUGGAAGGUGAGAGUUAGGUAUUUAUAGAAAAAAUAAAUAUUUUUUUUAAUAUUUUUUGUAUUUUUUAAUAUUUUUUCUGUAUUUUUUAAUAAAUUUUAAUUUAGUUAAUUAACGUGGACCGUUGAUUUGUGAUCGGAUAGUCUAUUUUAAAAGUAAAAUUUAAAUUUUUUUUACCGUUGGAAAUCCAACAGUCUAGAAAAACUAGCCGUUGGAAAUCCAACGGCUAUGAGCAUGCCACGUCACUGAUGGGAUCCAGAGCACAAGUGGGCUGACAACCCCUCUGUAGCCUUUCGGCUACUCGCGCCCAAGCACGCUUGUCGUGCACGCACCAGCCAAAUAGGUCGGCUUCUUGGUCUAUCAAAAUUGGGUUGGCCUGUUGCCUGGCAUGGGCUGGGUGCUAGGCAACUUUGUGGGCUGAAGCAAUUUGACUGAGGGCCAGGCUGUUUUUUGUGUUGGGGGCUGGGCAAAGCAAGCCUCGGUGGUCUUGCUCUUAGGUAUGAAGUUAGUGAAAUAGAUAUGUUCACGCAAAACAGUAUGCGUGGUUACACUAUCUGCUUGACAACCAACUUUCCCACUAGUCAUACCUAGAAUAAAAAUUAAUUUGAAUUGGUCACAUGCAUAAAGUUCUUAAAACAAAUAUCCAAAAACAAAUCACCAUCAAAUAAUCCAAACAUAAAGGAAAGUUGUCCAAAAUUAAACCAAAAACACAAGGGGGUUCGGCCCCUAGGUGGAAUUAUUCGGCCCCAUUGCCUAAAUUUCAACUAGAAAAUAGUUUAUGUCUAAGAUUCUAAUCUUCCAUAAGGGUAAUAACCUCUUGAAAGUUAGAAACCUUCAUCUUUGUACUUUCUGGUUCAUCCACUUGCACAACCUUCUAGGGAGCUCGGCAAACAUGGGACCAAUGGCCAUUUGAACCACAGCAAUAGCACAUGUCCUCAUCCAUGGUUUCAAGUACUUUACCCUUAUUCUUGAAGUUUAGGGUCUUGGGUGCUAGGUUAAGGCGUUUCUGGGCUCUGUUUCCUCCCUUAGAUGGGCCUUAGCUCUGUUGACCUUAACGGGGUGGCUUCUGGCUGCCCCUACCAGGUUUAUUUUGGCAUUUUGGGCAUUUGUUUGUGCUAUGGUUUGCUUCAGGCACAAUAGUCACCCUAGUAGCUCGAGUUUGAUGAUUUUUCAUUAGCAGCUGAUUCUGCUUUUCAGCUAGAAGUAAAACAUAAAUCAAAUAUGAAAACUUAGUGAACUUCUGAGCCCUAUCUUGUUGCUACAGGACAAUAUUAGUAGUAGAGAAGGUCGAAUAGGUCUUCUCCAGGAGAUCCUCUUUGGUCAAGGUCUCGUUACAUAACUUGAGAAGUGAUCGGAUUCGACAAACUUCAUAAUUAUAUUCAUUCACAGACUUAAAGUCUUGGAAGCGGAAAUGCUGCCAGUCAUGUCUUGUUUCAGGCAAGAAGAUGUCCUUUUGGUGAUCGAAACGAUCGGCCAAAGCGACCUAGAGUGCUCGUGGAUCCUUCUCAACAAAAUACUCGGUUUGCAGUGGGUCAUGAAUAUGUCUUUGAAUGAAGAUCAUGGCAAUGGUUUUCUUAGCUUCGCCAACUGAGUUAUCCAUCUCAUCUUCAAUGGUGGGACACAAAUUCUUUGCAGUGAGGUGGAGCUUCACAUCUUGGACCCACAUGAGGUAGUUUUUUCCAAUAGACCUCCAAAGUGGUAUAGUCGAGUUUGUUCAAAUUUGACAUGUUCUUAUCACAAAAUAGAUAGGCAAGAUGUGGUUAGUGUAAUGGUGAAAAAAUCAAUCCAUUCACAUUGGUUUAGAACAUUUAGGUUCUAAUAGACAUGUAUUGGUUUAAAUUCGCAUGAAAAAAAACUUCGGGUUUUCAUGGGUGAUGUUUUUAAGAAAAACUUCAGGUUUUCAAACAAGGCAUGUUUUUAGAAACUUCAUGUUUCGAAAUAAUUAUGAAUUUCAUGUUCAUAUGUUCCUGUAGAUAAACACAAAUAUAUAUAGAGAAAUAUGUAACAAGAAAAUAUGCAAAUAGAACUUCAUGUCUAUAAAUUAUAAUAAAAUUAAUUAUUUGGACUUUGGGCCAAAUUUGAAUGUGUGGGUGAAAAUUUAUAAAACCCAAAUUGUCUAAAAAAUUAAACAAUUAUUCGGGGUCCAAAAACAGGGACCAUAAACCCAUAGGUGGGUUGAGUGAAUUUGUACCGUGGUCCAGGCCCAAAAAUUGGGCUGGGGUUAGGCACCGACUAAUCGGUCCCCAAAAUAAAUUUGGGUUGUGGGCCCAGUAGCGGCAAGGGGUUGCAAGAAGACCGGGCCUAAAGCAUAGGACCAAACAGGGUGCUGAUCAGGUGUAGUGGGAAACAAGCUAGGGCUGUAAGCCCACUCAAAGGCAUGCUCAUGUGCUUCGCGGUAUAGUGCACCGGUGUUCCAACUUCAAGUUGGGAUCACAUGCAUGCGGGCGUAAGGACACCAGGGCCCCUACGGGCUAGUGUCACACUUGAGUCGAGCCAUGGUCUUGGGCCGCAUCUGUGAGCCCAGUCACGAAAAAAAAUAUUUUUUUUUCAUAUGCCGAGAGGGCCAGCCCAAUUGGGCUUAGGUUGCAACAAAAGGAACACCCCAGCUUCGCUGGGUGUGGUCACCAAGGACGAAGGUCGGCGCCGUCGUUUUAGGCUGUCGUGUUUUGAUCAAAAGAACUCGAAACGAGUUGUGAUGUUUGACAUGGAACCUGGAUGGUGUGAUGGAGAAGGUCUCGACAUCCAAAAACCAAAGAAAAACCUAGGAUUCGAAUUUGGGUUUUCAAAAUCCGGGGAGAUUCAUACGAAUCUCGGCCAAAAAAAGGUCGGCGACGAUUGCAGGUCGUCGGGGAUGGCAGCUGUAGUGGCUGGGCAUGGCUGCAGGCCAUGCUUGUGAUGCUGUGAAGGGUGUCGGGGUUUUUGGGCUGGGUUCUAAAGGUUUGGAGCUUCGAGCUCCUACUGUGGUUCGGGUUUGGGUUCAAAGAACCCUAGAAAUUUUUUAUUUUUUUUCUUUAUUUCCAUAUUAUAAUUCAAUGCAUAUUGAAAAAUAAUUUAAUGCAUGAGCAGAUAUUUGAUGCAAUUCAAGGCAAUAUCAAAUUCACGUAAUUCAACAAUUAUGGGGAAUGUUCAUGCCAUCAGGGCUGCAAAAAUAUCGAGAUAAAAACCGUUGUUUUGGAAGAACCUGAUUGCGUGAUUAUAUGGAUGAACUGGUUUGAUGUAGAAAACUUCCAUGUCAGAUUCCUAAGCACAACAGUAGGAGCGUGCUAAUAACGUGUUGUGGCCUAUAUUUAACUGACAAUGGAAGGGGGCCAUAGGCACAGAGAGAGAAUAGAGAGAGAUGUGUUUGUAGGAUUGUGUAGAGGAAUGUGUGUGUUAUUUCCCCUACACAGUGCCUUUAUUUAUAGUAAUAUGAGAAAGGAGAAAUCAUUCUCCUCCAAGGAGUACAAGUUCUGAUAGGGAAGAAUAACUAUAAUCAAAUCUAAUCUAGGAUUUACACAAUCACACUUAAAUAAAAAGUUUAUAAAAUUAUACGCUUUACAAGCGUGUUUUAAUUUUAAUUUUCUUAGUCAAUCAAUGGAGUAGUGGUGCUUCAAAUAAUAAUAAAGUUCAUGCUAAAAAAAUGUAGAUUCAUUUCUUUAUUUCAAGAUAAAUAAAAUUGAAAAUGGUGUUGGCUGAUUUAGGCUGCUAAGAAUCAAAAUCAUGUAUUUUAAAACCCUUGAAUUAGAAACAUAAACUUGAUGUCAAACUCAAAUUCACCAAUGGACAUCAAUGGUAGAGUACAUUAAAUAAUUGGGAGUUUUAACGAAACACUCCCGGUACUGUUCACUUUUAACGAAAAACCAUAUUUUUACCUUUUCCUGAUACCAUUCACUAUACCUUUAUUUGUCAUUUUUCAUUAAUACUAAAGUUUUUUUAGACUUUUCGUUUGUUUUCCUUAAAUAAUUUCCAAAUAGACAUUGUACAACUUACAAACAAGUCCUAGAAAGGGCUAGCGUACAAAAGGAUGCCACUUAUGAAAACAAAAUAUGAGUAAUAGUUCAUCUCUACAAUGUUUACAAGGUUUCAACUAAAAAAAAAUUAUCUUCAGAGACCCAACAGUAGCUAGUAGAGAAAAUUCUAGAAGCCUAGGUGAGGAAUGACCUGUCGCUAAUGCCCCAAAGGCACCCAAUCACCCACACUGCCAAUUUAACACCACAAAAUAGAACUUGUUCACCCCUAGAUCAUACAUGUACAGACUUUCAAAAGCCCCAAAAAUAAACAAAGUUAAACCUCAAACAUAUAACAUCAUAAUACCCAUUACAAAACUAAAAUUUAUCACUAUUUUUUGCUCAAAAUUUAUCACUAUUUAACCUACCAUCCAAUUGAAGCAGCCAAACCUCACAACUAUAUGCACCACCACACAGGGACAAGAAAGAAUAUAGUUCCAAUGCCGGCAAAUGAAGACAUGAAUCGAAAACCAAAGAAAGAGGCGAGGCAAAGCUCCGCGUGGAAACCAAAGUCUUAGUUCCAUACACCUUCAGCUGAAUGAGGGACGAUUCGUUCUAAGUGUGGGUAGUAGACACCAGAGCUUGGUCAGACUUCUUAAUCGAAUGUGGCCAUUUUGACGGCAAAUGAGUCUUGAGGACUGGAUUUGUAGUAUGGGUUAGAUAUUUGUGGUUCAUUUGGGGCUAAUUAGGAUCUGGUGCACAAUAGCACGAAUAGGGGGAAUUAAGAGGAUAGCCAAAAGAGGGGAAGUCAAGUUCCCGAAUUGAGACGUAGCUCAAGCCCACAACCACCAUGAAUCGGGAUUGAGGCAAAUCAUCAUCUUUGGAGAGAUGGGGCAAGCUACCAUCAUGGGAGAGAUGAAGCAAAAGAGCACUUAAGAGGAAGUGGGGAGGAGAGAGAGAGAAGGAGAAAGGUAGAUGAAGAAACGGGAGGGGCAAUUGUUAUACACCAAUGACAUCUGAUGCACUCCCAAAACACGCACAUUCAUUUCAAUUCUCUAGGAUUCAUUGGAGGCUGGCGUCUCCUUUAGAGAAUCAUGUCGUACGUUUCUUGCAAUUGUUAUACACCAAUGAUAUGUCAUCAUCUCAUGCACUCAAAGCUACUCUUCAUUUUGCUUGGCGUCCUUCUAGCCCGUGGCGUUUGGUGCAUUUGGGAAAGGUCUAUUACGACAUUCACUUUGAGACUGAAGAAGAUAUGCCCCGAGUUUGGAGAGGAGGAACCUGUACAUUCCCAACUAGUAUUUUCAUAUUAUCGCAACGAAAGCUGGUUUAUAAUCUUAGUGAAACUCUUGCCCAUACUCAAUCUCAGGUUUGGGUACGUAUCCAUGGUCUCAGCCAGAAAUAUACUGGGGCACACGCGCACACAAAACACCCUCGCGACACCUAAUGGAAAUAGCGAGAGGUGUAGGCACUCCUCUUCAAUUGGAUAGGUCUACUAAAGAUUGAGUUUAUGGCUACUAUGCCAGAAUUCUUGUGGAUAUGGAACGAGCAAUCGAAAAGAUUCUGAUGCAUUCUCGAAUUUAAGUAUUGUUCCUCGAUCUUCCGAGUAAUCUUCCUUCUUCUCUCAUGUGUGACAAUUUAACAAUGGAUUUGCUCAGUCAUCAACAGUUGAAUAAACAAGACAAUUGCAAGUAGGUUCCAUCUGAAGGUCGCAAACGAAGUCAUCUAGGUGAGAAGAAUCGUGAUCCUUCUCCUAUUGGUCUGAUCAAACCCUAAAUAUUGUCAACCAAAUUCUCGAGGAUGUGAUCAACGAAGAAUUAAAACGCAUUGUUGUUGUGGUGGUCACAGAGAAGGAGGAUGUUGUGAUUACAGAUAUUGAAAAAGAUGAUGAUCAAGCUCGUUAGAAAGUUCUUUUAAAAUGACUGAAAGUGCUUUGAGAUGAAAUGUUUCUGGUUGAAUUGCUUCUUGCAAAAAGCACCACUUAUGUGCUUCUUGCAACAAACAUUUCAAGUGUUUUCUUUCAAAAUUUACUUGUACUUUUAUUAAAAUUAAUUCCAAAAAUAUUUUCAAUAAGACUGCAUUCAAUUAUUUUAAAAUAUUUUUCAAACGAGCUAUUAGUUAUUGAAUAGGUUUCCCAUGUUGGCCGUGUUAGUGACGAUGGGCCUUAACUAGGUUUCCCGUCAAAGCAGAACCGAUGACCUCAAGAAAUACAUAUGUGGGAGUUCAAACUCAAAUUGAGGGCUCCAAUUCUUUGCUUGCUUUCCACUAGACCAACAUUUCUCCAUAAGUGAAUAUGGCUAUAAUAAACAUCAACUUGGCUACCGCUUAUGUAGAACAUAAUAUAUUGUGAAAUACCUCAUGUAUUUAAAAAUAAAUAAAAAAUUGGUUACUAUUUUUACAUAUAUUUAAUACAUUUAUUAUCUAACGGUUAUAUAUAAUUCAUGUGAAUAUAUGUUUUUUGUACAAUCAAAAUGUGACCAUUGAAAUGUCGCAUUGUUGCUAAUACAACUUUGAUCUUGGCCCAAAUGGAGUUGGUUUAACUUUCCACAAAAUGAAAUCCAAACGUAACCCCUUACUUUCCCGCCAUCAUCUACCAUCCUCUCACACCUUUUUGCCGCCAAAUAUCUCUUUUUCCAUCUCUCUCCUUCGCUAAACGGUUUAGCCUAAACCCUCUUCUCUUCUCUCUCUCUCUCUCUCUCUGAUUCCUAGAGUCUGAAGCGGCCAUGGAAGAAAACCAAACUUCCAUGAAAUGGAACCGGCCUUCACCUGUAAUGUUCAUGAGCACCGGCGCCAAAUCUCAGAUCCAUCUCCACACCCACUAUACGGUAAAGGCUUCGCUAAUUUUCUUGGUAUACUAGACCAUGUUCUGGGAACACUUAAAAACUCUCCAUUGGAUUUUCAUAAAGAAAUUUGUCUUUUACAAAUGUGACAUUCGAGUCAUUCAAUUUCCUGGCAUUUUUUUUGCAAGUAACAUUAAAACAAAGUUACACCAUAAUUUAUUUUUAAAAAGAUUUACUUAAAUGCAGAAGGGAGAGUACAUUAUUCUAACUACAAUUUUUAUUUGCAAUAACAAAGGAGACAACUACACAUUUUAAAAGUAAACAACAACAAAACAACAAUAAAAAAACAUUUUCUCACUAAGUGAGGUCCGCUAUAUGAAUCCUAGAAUGUCAUUACGUUCUGUUCUGUGUCAUGUCUUCCGUUAGAUCUUAGUACUCUAAAUAUUUUCUUAGAGUCUUUUCCAAAGUUUUUCUAGGUCUUCCUCUACCUCUUCGGCCCUGAACUUUUAUCUCGUAAUCGCAUCUUCUAACAUAAGCAUCAGUAAGUCUUCGUUUCACAUGUCCAAACCACCAUAACCGAUUUUCUCUCAUCUUUCCUUCAAUUUUGGCUACUCCUACUUUACCUCGGAUAUUCUUAUUUCUAAUCUUAUCUUUUCUCGUGUGCCCACACAUCCAAUGAAGCAUUCUUAUCUCCACAACACCCAUUUUAUGUAUGUGUUGAUGUUUCACCGUCCAACAUUCCGUGUCAUAAAGCAUUGUCGGCCUUAUUGCCGUUCUAUAAAAUUUUACCUUGAGCUUCAGUGGUAUAUAACGGUCACAAAACACGCCGGAUGCACUAUUCCACUUCAUUCAUCUAACUUGUAUUAUAUGGUUGAGGUCUCUAUCCAACUCUCUGUUCUUUUGCAAGAUAGAUCCUAGGUAGCAAAAGCGGUCGCUCUUUAACUCAUUUGAGCCUCCGUUUGCACUGAACUUGCACUUCAUAUACUUUGUCUUUGACUGACUUAGGCGAAGACUUUUAGAUUCCAACAAUUUCUCUCCAAAGGUUAAGCUUUGCAUUUACUCCUUCCUGAGUUCAAUCUAUCAACACUAUAUCGUCUGUGAAAAGCAUACACCAAGGAAUAUCAUCUUGAAUAUGUCCCGUUAACUUAUUCAUUACCAAUGCAAAAAGGUAAGGACUUAAACAUGAGUCUUGAUGUAACCCUACAAUUAUGGGAAAGUUUUCAGUUUGUCCUUCAUGAGUUAUUACUGCAGUCCUUGCUCCAUCAUACAAAUCCUUUAUAGCUUGGAUAUAUGCUACUCGUACUCCUUUCUUCUCUAAAAUCUUCCAAAGAAUGUCUCUAAAAUCCUCCAUCAUACACACUAAAAUCCUCCAUCAUACACAUUUUAAAAGUAAAAUAAAAAAUAUUUGUCCAUGCAAUAGACAUUACAAUUACAAAAGUCGACCAUUUGUUUAAGAAAACAUCAAUGUAUCUGAUCCAAGAAAGCCUUGAGAUUCUUGUCCGAAGACCCCCCUUCACUCACAGCCUCUCUUGCCAAAUCUUUCCAUUUCUUAGCAUUCCUUCUCAUCUCUUCACCAAUCUCCCCACUUUCCAUGACCAACUCCAAACACCUCUUGAGCUCCUCACCCGUAACAAUCCCCUCCUCAUUUGGUGUCACCCUCACUCCUGUCUUCCAACUGUCCUCUAUCAACUUGGCAUUCGUCCCUUGGUCCAUCCACUGAGGAAACGCCACCAUAGGCACUCCCGAAACCAAGCUCUCCAAACUUGAAUUCCACCCACAAUGUGUGACAAAGCAACCCAACGAAGCACUUGACAGAACCUCCACUUGACCACACCACGGCAAUAUCCUCCCGAGCUCUUCCAAUUCCUCUCUGCAACUCAAUAUCUCUUCUUUCUUCGACUCAUUAUCGUCUCCCUUCUUCUCGAUUUUAUCUCUAAUAACCCACAAAAACGGACGGCCGCAAUCCAACAACCCUUUUGCGAUUUCCUCCGUUUGGGCCUUUUCCAACACACAAAUGCUUCCGAAGGAAACAUAAAUCACCGACCCUUCCGGCUUCAAGUUCAGCCACUCGAGGUACGAAGAGUCCUUUGAUUUUUGGAAAAGAUCGCCUCCAAAUGACUUGUCCAAUGGAUCCUUUCUGUCCAAGAAAGCGGACGGAAUCAAUGGCCCGACUCCAAUCAAAUUGUACUUGUCAAUUGCUUCUAAGGCUUCCGGCUCUAGUGCAUCGAACGUGUUCACUAGAAUGGUCUGGUUGGUUUCUCUCUCCAGCAGAUCCAUCUGUUCUUGAAACAAUGAGAGGACGAAAUUGUACAGAUUUGUAUCGACCAUGAAGGAGGGAAGGUCUCGGCUUGUGAGAGCUAAUGGUAAACCUGGUAAUUCUAUCGAACAUGGGACAUUGUUCGUACCAGAAUUAGUAUUAUCCCGGAUGAGAUCUUUGUAGCCGUUAAAAUAAUAGUAGUGGAUGUCGAAAACCGUGGCUGGUUGAAUCCAAAACAGCACGUUUGGGAGGUGAAGUUCAUGCGCCACUUCCGCCACCCAAGGGAGAAAUGAUGUGUAGACUAGGCAUGUGUAAGGGUGACCCUCGUUUGCACUUCAGACCAAGGAAGAAAAAAUCGAUAAUAUCGCGUCAAUAUUAUCGUUUUUUUGGAGAUCCGAAAUUUUUUUAACUAUCCAAAUAAUUUUCGUCAAAAUAUCACAAUAUUAUCGAUAAUAUCACGAUAUUUUUAAAAUUAUCGAUAAUAUCGUAAUAUAAUAUUCAAAAAUAUUUAAAAAUGUUGAAAAUCUCAACAUAUACUACACUUGAUCAAAGCCCCAAAGGCUAACCAAGACAUGCUUUUCUCACCAUGUGAAUGUGCCUUUUAUAGGCGUUCUUGGCUUGCUCACUGCCCUCGCUGGGCGAUGUGGGACUCGACCAAGGAAAAAAAAUAGGAAUUUCGGCCGAAAAUCCACACCCACUUUAAACGGCCAUAACGUUGUCAAAACGAAACAAACUCAAGCAAGAAAAAAACGAAAGUUGUAUCCCUCGAAGAGACGAAGAGAAUGGUACCUCACACGACGUCUGAAUCGUCG
rnacentral:lncRNA from 1 species